AGCCCAACUAUUAUUAUUAUCAAAAUUAAAGAUUUUCUUGCUAAAGAGUUCAAAGCUCUUCUCUGAAACUAAAGGUUGCAACACGUGGACUGAGAAAUCCCCUCCUAUGUAUCUGCCUACAUUACUAUUUCGAGAGGUUAAAAUUAUCCUACUACCAAUUUUUGAAUCACAUUCAGGAAGGACAAGUUUUAGAUCAUCCCAAAUUUCAACAUUCCAAAUGUCAUCUAAGAGAAUAACAUACCUUUUUAUUUUCAAGAGUGAUCGUAGGUUGUUCUCCAAGUUUUCUUUCCUUUCCUCUUCCGUCAGUCCAACUUGUUUGGCUAUGUCGGUUAAGAUUUCUCGCGCCCUUGGCUGUUGUGAAAUGUAGACCAAUCCCGAACACUCAAAUUGAUCACGGACAAGCCUAUAAAGUUUCUUGGCAAGAGUUGUUUUUCCUAGACCGGGCAUGCCAACUAUUGAAACAACUCCAUAAGGCAAAUCUUGAUCAAGUAAUUUGGCUUGUAGUGUAUUGAAGUCAUCUUCCAGACCGAUGACCUCUGUUUCAUUUGCAUGAAGGAACAAUCUUCUCUGGUCCAAUGGAAUGCAAUCAUUGUUGUUAUUUGUAUCCAUGAUGUUGUAAGUUGUCCUUACACGAUCAAUGUCCGCAACCCUUCUUUUUAUCUUCUCAAUCUCCCUAGCAAACUCAUCCGCAAAAGAAACCGUCUUUAGGCAACAAAUUGCGCCCUUGAACUUAUUGGAUUGUUCAAUUUUGGGAAGGAAGUCAUCUAAGAGAUCCUCCACAUCACCUGCCAGUUGUUGAAUAUCUUUUAUCAAGUUUUUCACACUUGUAUCGCCUUCAAUUGCCUUGUCCUUUGCGUUGUCUAUGUAUGAUCGAAUGUGUCUCAUUUCUCUCUGGAGCCAAUCGAUGUCUUCUUUCAACCAAUAUAAACGCGUUCCUUCUUGAAAGAGUACAUUUCCAGCUAUUUCAACAGAUUUAUUGAUGACUGCUGUGAGAAGAAUUUCAGCCAUUUCUUUUUCAGUAGCUACAAAAAAUUGAUCAGAAUGAGUAAUUAGAAAGAAGAAGAUAAUUGGUAAAGGAAAAGAAAGGUAAGCUUAGAAUAGUUGGAGUCAACUGCCAAGUCUCCUAAUAAUGUCAAGUAAAUGAAAAACGAAAGAAGAAAGGAACAACACAUGCUCUGGAUAAGAAACUGGUUGAAUAGUCAAAGGAAAUAACACCGUUCGUUCCAAUUUAAAUGUCAUUCUAUUUAAUUCGAUAUAGAAUUUAAGAAACAAACAGUGACUUUUAAUAUUUUGUGGCGGAUUAUUGAUAAUGUACCUUUUUAAAAAAAAAAUUACGUAACUAAGCAAACAUCUUUAGACAGUGGCGUACGCAAGAUAUUUCAUAAGAGGUGUCACAUUUUAAAAUAAAAAUAAAUAAUUAAAAAAUUAAGAUUUAUUUUAGCAUUUUUAUGUGUGUAGCGAAAUAUAUUUAAAUUAAAAAAAUUAACCAAGAAAGAAAAAGGCGGUAUUGAUGUUCGAACACCCAACUUCAAACCAGAAGAUAAGUACCCUAACCUACUGAGCUACGCUCCUAUUUGGUUUAAGGAGUGUCACUUUAUUGUAUUUGUUCUUUGUUUACAAUUUGCUUUCCAAUUAUUUAGAAUUAUUUAAUAAAAAAAUUCGACGAAGCCGUGUCAUGUGACACACCUUCGCCUAAGGUAAAUCCGCCCUGUCUUUAGUAUAUAACUAUCAAUCACACCAUAUGUUAAAAAAAUGUAUUAUAUAUCUAGACGCCAUUUUAUGUUUCCUAACUGUUUGAUGAACGUCUUGCAAAACUUUGCCCAAUUUGGUUCAUGGCUGUGAGUUUGGGCUAUUAUGAGAUUCAAUUUGUAUGUUCCAUGAAAAUUAGGCUUUUAUGCAAUUUGACUCUCUCAAAAUCUUUUGCCAUACUCAUACAGAGUGGGCGUUCGGUUUGAUAUUUAUUUAACUUUGAUUUGAUUUGGUCGUGAGAUAUCAUCAUAAUGACUCGAGUAGAAUGGUCGGAAUUUCUUCACUUUUCUGAUAAGGAGUGUUCUGUUCUAAAUUUACUAAUUCGACUAAUUCAAAUUUGUAUCACGUAAUACUGAUUUGAGAAAGAAAUACUUUUUAUCCAAAAAAAAAUCAUUUUCAGAGCUCGAAUUGAUUUUUUUUUUUGGUUUCAUUACGUGUAAUUUUCAAGUCCUUGUGGUAUCACAACACAGGUUAGGAUAUUUGGAGGUUAUUUCACAAGGACUUACAACAAGAAAAGAAAAAAAAAAGAUAUAAUUUGAGGAAAAUAUGAAAGUCUUGCAUUAAAGUUAAAAAAAAAGUAGUAGUUGUUUGCUCGUGAAGUUCAAAUAUUUUUCACUAAAAUUUAUAGAAUUGAAAUUGAAAAUAGAGUUAGGUUUAAAUUAUUUUUUUCUUGCGAAUGAAAGAACCGAACGAUUGGAGAUUGGAGAAUUUUACCAUCAAACUGCUUUUGAAAUAAAGUGAAAAAUUAUUUCGAAAAAAAAUAUAAAUAAUUCACAUAACAUCCUAAAAUAGCUUUCUCAAUCUCGACAAUUGCUCAUUUAUAAACUACGGAAAAUGGUCAAAAUUGCCCCUGCACUAUGUGAAAUAGACCACUUAUACCCUCCGUUAUAUUUUACGAUAAAAAAUGCCCGGUGUUAUCCUAAGAGACCACAAUUACCCUUAAGACUUAACAGAAAUGAUGCGGCAAGCCACAUGACACUAAUUCCGCCACCUAGGCUUGCCAACUAGGAUACUCACUAAAUUUUUUGACCCAAUUAAUAAUUCAACCCUAACCCAUUUUUGUUGGACCCAACCCACUAAAAUUAAGAGGGAAACAUCAUCUUUUUUUCACCUCAUUCCGUUUUACUAUUAAAUUCACCAAGGACGAUUUUUUGAAGACUUUUACGAGCUUAGCUUACUUGGACCAUGAUUGUGUGCCGCCAUAGAUUUAAAAACUAUGCUCUGGCACCAUUCUAUGCUUAGAAAGCUUGGGCUUGUGUUUUAUGUGGCUUUCCAAAAAAAUUUUGAGAAGCUCCACUUUUGUGAUGAUUAUACCCCACAACCACAAGUUUCUACGUUUUUAGCUUGUCGUCUAGCGGAUUAGCACUACGACAAAUAUAGGAGGGUGAUUGAUAAAAUGUGAAUACAAGAUUAUAAACAUGUAGGGGCAUAUCAAUGUUGCAUCCAUUUGUCUCUUACAGUGAUGAAUUUCAAUGAUUUUGGUUAUAAAGUAUAACACCAUAGAACCAUAAAGUUAAAUUUUCAAGCUUAUGUAUCUUUUCUAGUCCAUUGUGUCAUUAGAUUUUAAAGCUAGCAUUCCUAAGGUAGAGAUGUAAGGUAAACAAAAUAUUUUGCAGGCAAGAGAAACAAAUUAUAUAAAAAUCUUUUGCUUCCCCUGCUUAUUUACAACUAAUUUAUCAAUGAGUUAUUACUUUAAUUUCUUCCCUGGUUUUUUAUAACUUCAUCAAUGUACAUAUAUAUAUAUAUACUUUUGCCUUCAUAAACUUUGGGAGGUUUACAACUCCUUAAAAAAACAGCAAAUUGUUGUACCUUCUCCUCGUUAAUACUGGGUUUGAAACAGAACAUGUGGACUGCAGAUGGAACGGUUAGUUCAACCUCAUGGCUACAACCAAGCUUGAAGUAUAUAGAAGGUUUUGUCCUUACGAUUUGGACAAUAUUCAAAACUUUCAAAAUCUUUCAUCAUGACAAAACAUUAAGGAGUGAGUACGUUCUGGUUGUUGGCAUGUGAUUAAGAGGUUAGUAUGGAUCGAGUUUUGAAAAUAGACUCUUACAAAAAAUACUAAUAAAAUUACAUAUAAUAGAUUCUUGUGAUCCAUCUCUUCUUUGGACUCCGCAUAUAACCGGAAUUUAGUACACAUGGUUAAUAAGUUAUUUAUUUUUUUAUUAUCUUUUUGCAUAAUUGAGAUGCCACUUUUGCUCAUUUUAUAUUCCCUGCUAGUAGAAUUUAAGAAGGUUUACAUGAUUUAUCCACUCUUACAAUCCUAUAUUUCAAGACCUGUAUUAUUUUUAUUGACUAAACAUGGAUAAUGAUAACUACUGUCAAUACUAUUAAAAAUGUUUUCCACGUUAGAGUUGUGGGUUCGAGAAUAGCAGGCUUUAAAUUUGGUAGUUGGAGAAAUGCAUUGCAAGUUAUUUAUAAUGUGGUUCUAUCGUCUACAUUGAGGUGUGAAUAAUUUUGCAAUAAAUUAUUCUAUCCGUUUAUUUUAACUUAUUACAUUUCGUUUUGAGAUUCAAACUAUAUGAAUUUGGAUCAAUAUUUUAAGAUGAAUAAUUUUGCAAUAAAUUAUUACAUCCGUUUAUUUCAACUUAUUACGUUUCAUUUUUUGAGAGUCAAACUAUAUGAACUUUGAUUAACAUUUUAAGAUGAAUAUUUUUGCAAUUAAUUAUUCUAUCCUUUUAUUUUAACUUAUUACGUUUCGUUUUUUGAGAGUUAAAUGAUAUAUAUAUGAACUUUGAGAUGUAUUUUUUCAUCAUAUUAAUAUGAGAAAGAUUGAUCAUAUAUAGUUUUUAAAUAUUUAAAUUUAAAAUUUAAAAUAUUGAGUGAAUUUUAUUCAAUUUGACUCUCAAAGUUAAUCAAAUUAACUCUCAUGAAACAUGACAAAUAAAUCCAUUUUCUUGGUUUUCCACCCGGUACUCACAUCCAAAUCGUUCCACGCAUAUUCAGAAUUAUGGAGUAUUAAAUGAAAUAUUUAGUUCAUGAACUAACUAGUACAAAUUUUUUAAAAUCACCUUAUCGAGCAUAUUAAAUGUAAAUAGUUAACGCAGUAAACUAACCUGUGAGAUUUUCAUAUUCUCAGCUUUGCAAGCCGUUUGGAAAGACUUAUUAGGGAACGGAGUCUUACAAGUAAUAGCAAUAUUGCCGAGAUCACCAAAUGCAUUGUGCUCGGUGUGAGAGGUUGCAUGAAAUUUCUUAGUCUAGCAUUUCUCAUUUGUAUAUCUUUUACGAUUCUAUCUAUUAAUGAUUUUUGUAUAUAUUUGAUUGACAUAUUUCUAUAUUUUCCAACCCAUAGGUAUUUGUAUAAUAUUUUAUAUUUAUGCAAAUCAUCAUAUAAGCAAGAAAUCCGAAUCAAAGAGUAAAUAUAUCAAAAUUUUCAAAAAGAUACCAUACAUACACCACAAAUAAGGUCUACUUUUUUCUAUUGAGAAUAAGAUUUUAAUUUUAUUACUCCAUUAAUUAAAGAUAAAUAAACAUAAAACAAAACAAAGAGAAAUACAGUAUUAAUUUGUUUUUACAAAUCACAAGCAAUUAACUUGAAACAGCAAUCAAACUUUUUCUCUUAUUAUUAGUAUUAUAAUACCAACAGGCAUCAGAAGAUUCUCUCCAACACAGACUUAAAUCAUUUUCAAAGGCAUCCCUGCAAUUUAUUAGAGAUGGAAUAUUUAGUUGAUGAACUAAAUACAAAUUUCAAAAAAUCAUGGAUAUUAAACGUAAAUAAUUAUUUAUAGUACCUGUGAGAUUUUUAUAUUCUCAACAUUGCAAGCCGUUCCGAGACCCUGAGACUAAUUGGGGAAUAAAUGAAUGGGCCUUGUACAAGUAAUAGCUUUUUCAAUUUAGGCAUACUCAUAUCAUCCAUGCACGUUACUUCAGACAACCCUUGUGCAUCCUCAAUAUGUAAAACUUCAAGUUGCGGAAAGCUAUCACCAGAGAGAUCCAUUUUUUCUGCAUCAUGUCUGCACCUAAGCAAUGUAAGUAUCCUUAAUUUGGGCAAUUUCUUAAGCACUGCCAAUAGAUGACCGUCUACCAUCAAGCCGACAAGAGUAAGCUUGACAAGAUUUGGAGGGAAUGCUUCAAUGUUCAAGAGCAUUGCUCUGGAACCAAACAAAACCAAUUUGACAAUAUUUGGAUGGGACGACAAGUUUAUUUGCUCACUCGUGUUCUUGAAAAUUCUGAGCUUCAGAACCUCCAACGCUUUAGGCACAGGGCUCAAUGCUGAUAAUAUCUUAAUGGUAGAACCGGAUACAUCCUUUAUACACAAUGUUCUUAAAUUUAUCAAUCGGUGCAACAAUCUCGGUUCACAAAAUUUAUCAUCCACCCACAUCAAAGUUUGUAGAUUAUUACGAGGCAAUGAGUACACGUUUGGAAAAAAUGGGUUUAUACAAAAGUAAUUGUAAGGUGCUAGAUUAUAACCUAUAGAACGAAGAUGUCUCAAUUGUGUAGACUUCCAAACACCAGUAGGAAGUUUAAUAAAGAAGCUUUUACCAAUAUCUAGGGUCUCUAGAUGUUUGAGCUUCACCAUACAAUUUGGCAGUUUCCCAUUGCACGAAGCUUCUCAAGCUUAGUAUUUGAACGGAAGAACUCAUUCAUGGCAUUAUUAUCAGAGUAGAAUGUAAUCCUUCGCACCCUAGCAACAUUGCUGGGAUCACCAAAUGCAUUGUGCUCGGUGUGAAAGAAGUUACUUUCCUUAGCCAAAUCCACACACAAACUAUGUAACAAGUCAUGUAUGCGACAACUUGAAAUUCUUCCAUCAUAUGUCCUUUCGACAACUUGAAUCAAGUUUCUAGAAACCAAAUCAUUUAGGAUAUCCUCUGCCAAACUUUCAGCCUCUCGCCUAUUACCACUAUAGUUUACAACUAUCAACUUCUCAGCAAUCCACAUAUUUGUCAGAUCAAAAGCACGAAUUUCAUGGUCCUCGGGGUAAAGGCCAAAAUACAAGAAACAUGGCCUUAAUGCAAUUGGCAAAUCAUUGUAACUCAGAGCCAAUACCUUAGCACAUCCAUCUUGAAUUUUAUGACCCAUACUCUCAAGUACUCUGUUCCAUGCACGUUCUGUUCUUUCUCUUGCCCUUAACAUGCCUGCGGUCACCUCAAUGGCUAGAGGUAUACCUCCACAUCUUCCAACUAUACUUCUACCAAUAUCUACCAAGUCUGGUGAAGCAUUGGCCCAAUUAUUAUUGUUAUCAAAAGUAAAGAUUUUCUUGGUAAAGAGUUCAAAACUGUUUUCCGAAUCUAGAGGUUGCAACACGUGUAUUGAGAAAUCCCCUCCUAUGUAUCUGCCUACAUUACUAUUUCGAGAGGUUAUAAUUAUCCUACUGCCAAUUUUUGAAUCACAUUCAGGAAGGACAAGUUUUAGAUCAUCCCAAAUUUCAACAUCCCAAAUGUCAUCUAAGAGAAUAACAUACCUUUUUAUUUUCAAGAGUGAUCGUAGGUUGUUCUCCAAGUUUUCUUUCCUUUCCUCUUCCAUCAGUCCAACUUGUUUGGCUAUGUCAUGUAAGAUUUCUCCCGCCCUUGGCUGUUGUGAAACAUAGACCAGUCCCGAACACUCAAAUUGAUCACGGACUUGCCUAUAAAGUUUCUUGGCAAGAGUUGUUUUUCCUAGACCGGGCAUGCCAACUAUUGAAACAACUCCAUAAGGCAAAUCAUGAUCAAGUAAUUUGGCUUGCAGCUUAUUGAAGUCAUCAUCCAAACCGAUGACCUCUGUUUCAUCAGCAUGAAGGAAUAAUCUUCUUUGGUCCAAUGGAAUGCAAUCAUCACUAUUGUUGUUACUUGUAUCCAUGAUGUUGUAAGUUGUCCUUACACGAUCAAUGUCAGCAACUCUUCUUUUUAUCUUCUCAAUCUCCAUAGCAAACUCAUCCGCAAAAGAAACCGUCUUAAGGCAACAAAUGAAAUUAUUGGAUUGUUGAAUUUUUGGAAGAAACUCAUCUAAUAGAUCCUCCACAUCACCUGCCAGUUGUUGAAUAUCUUUUAAUAAGUUUUUGACCCUUGAAUGGCCUCCAACUUCCUUGGCCUUUGCAUCGUCUACAUAUGAUCGAAUGUGUCUCAUUUCUCUGUGGAGCCAAUCUAUGUCCUCUUUUAACCAAUAUAAACGCGUUCCUUCUUGAAAGAGUACAUUUCCAGCUAUUUCUAUUGAUUUAUUGAUGACUGCUGUGAGAAGAAUUUCAGCCAUCUCUUUUUUCCUUAAAUUUCUUUUUUCUAAAUGUGAGGAUUAGCAAGGGAAAGUAAGAGAAAAUUAAAAGAUGAUCAAUUAUUGGUAAAAGGAUAAGAAAGAUGCAGUAUUUGCUUUAGGUGUUGGAGUCAACGGCCAAGUCUACUAAUAAUAAUGUCAAGUAGAUGAAAAAGAAAGAACAAAUGGACAGAAACAACUACUCCGUUCAUAUUAAAUACAAUAAUUCAUCUUUUCUUAAUCAUAUUAGCUGGUAUUUUGUUUUCAAGCAUGCAGGGGCGGACCCACCGUUACCCGAUGCCCUUCGUCGAAAAAUUACGAGGUCAAAUUUUGAUUUUAUAAAUAUAUAUAUAUAUACAAGUAUUAACACAUCUGGACACAAGUUAAAAGGUUUCGUGUAUUAAGGUGUUACGAAAGUUCCUUGAGGUAGUGUGUUUUUGUGCUAUUAGCCUCAAAUUAUAUUUUUUUAUUACAAUCAUUGACACCUUAAUGACAAUCUUUGGAUCCACGUUAAAAGUCAGACAAUUGAUGCAGUACUACGCGAAAAAUUCAAUGGCAAAGAUGAGUUCACACCGAAGCUUCUGGAAUCUCCUUCGUCCGAUUAUAUUUCAGUUCAUUAAAACAAGGGAUAAGGGCCUGAAAAAUAUUCCAACUUUGGUCGAAUUUGCUGUUACGAUACUAAACUUUCAUGAGGACCUAUUACCUCCCUAGACUAUUUAAUACCGUAUUUUAAACAUAUAUAUUUGCCCACGUGGACAUAAAAAAUAAUGCAAAAUUAUAAAUAGUAAUGUGUCCACGUGGACACAUAUAUACCUUUAAAAUACACUAUUAAAUAGUUCAGGGGGUAAAAAAUACGGUAUUAAAUAGUCUAGGGAGAUAAUAGGUCCUCAUAAAAGUUUAGUAUCGCAACAACAAAUCCGACCAAAGUUGGGGUAUUUUUCAGACCAUUGUCCCUUAAAACAAGGCAAAAAUACUCAUUACCCCCUUGAACUUGAAACUUUUUAUACGGUGUGCACCUAAACUAAAUUCCAUUUUAAUUAACUCCGAACUUGUUUAUUCCUCCAUCACGUACAUCUUUUUCGUCCACCUGCUCCUAUUGUGUAUUCCUCCAUUAUGUACACCUUUUUCGUCCACCCGGUCCUAUUGUGACUACACGCGCGCGACAGCUGGCAAAAGUGGUGAUGUGGAUUUCCACCUGGAUAUAUAAUAGCCACCUAGAUAAAUUAAUAUUGCAAAAAAUAAAUUUCCUAAAUUUAAAAUUCAUUGUUUAAAAGUUAUUUUUGAAUAAGGGUUGAUUUCGCGGAACUCCUUGAAUUUCAAAUUUGUCUGAAAUUCUUACCAAGUAAGUGUUAAUCUUUGUUUCCUUUACUUUUCAUUUACAUUUUCGUCGCGUACACCUUUUUUUUCCACUUACUCCUGUUGGGACUACACGCGCGCGACAGCUGUCUAAAUUGGUGAUGUGGAUUUCCACCUGGAUAAAUUAAUAUUACAAAAAAAAAUAUUCUUAAAUUUUAAAUUCAUCGUUUAAAAGUUAUUUUUGAAUAAGGGUUGAUUUCGCGGAACUCCUUGAAUUUCAAAUUUGUCUGAAAUUCUUACCAAGUAAGUGUUAAUCUUUGUUUCCUUUACUUUUCAUUUACAUUUUGCCCUAUUUUUCAUUUAAAAUAUGCCAAAUAUUAAACAAAAAUGGAGAUUUUACGUUGUUUUUUUUUACCGUUGUAGCUUUGUGAUGUGGCAAAAAAUCACUUCCUCACGCGCCUAGUAGAGUGUGUUGUCAAUUUCUACACCAGGUGGACGAAAAGGUGUACGCGACGGAGGAAUAAACAAGUUCGGGGGGGUAAUUAAAACGGAAUUUAGUUUAGGUGUACACCGUAUAAAAAGCUUCAAGUUCAGGGGGGGUAAUGAGUACUUUUGCCUUAAAACAAUUGUUAAAUCUUUAUUAUAUAUUUCAUUUUCAAACAAGAAUAAAGAAUUUUUAGAGUCGUCAGCCGAUUGAAGCAGUAUAUGAUUAUCCCACUAGAAUAUAUAUAUAUAUACGUGGCACUAUCUUGUGGGCCUAGCGCGUGUUGACAAUUUUUUCAAGGAUAGUGCCACGUAGGCCGAAAAGGGGUAGAAAAUUAUAUAUAAAAUAAAUUCAAGGGGGUAAUAGGACCUUAGUAAAAGUUAGGUGUGUCUCAGAGAUUUUGGGCAUAGAAUGGGGGUACUUAUGCAUUUUCCCUAUAUAUAUCACCAAAGAUCGACGACCUUGGCUAUAUUUAUAUUGGAAAAAUGUUAGAAAAUAUUUUAUAUAAAAUAUAACAUAUUGUUUAUAUAUAAAUAUAUUUGCAUACUAAGAUUGUUCGGUUCGAAAGGUUUUUGAUUUUAUUUUAAAAAUUAAAAAGUUCAUCCCAAUUGUUUGGCACAGUACACACUUAAACAAAAAUCCACGAUUUUAUUAAAUAUUUAUAUAAUAAAUCGGUUUGAUUCGAUUGCUUCAGUCGAUUUUUCAUGUUCUUAUGACACCCCUACAUACAAUCAUAUAUAUCAUACAAUCAUAUAUAUCGCACUUACCUAUUACUGAAAUGACUACUUUUUUAUUACUUCCUUUAAUACAUUUGCAAAAUCAAACCCAAGUGUAUGUAUCAUUGGCUCAUUACUAAUUGUCCACCAUUCUAUGCUACAUGAUUAACACAAUGUAUCACUUUUCUAUCUGUGUUCGUACUUCGUAGUUUGCACCAUGAACACAUAAAUCACAUAGGGAUAUUGAAAAUAUUGUCCACUGCCAGAGAUAUUUCGCUGCAUUGUACUUUUCAAAGAGCUGCUUCCCUAUUCCAAAAAGAGAAUAAGAGAUUAAACAUUUCGAAAUAGAAAGCACUAAACCAAUAAAAAUCCAUAGCCACAUUUAAAAAAUUACUAUGGAGAACAUGUGUGUGAGAGAGAGAAAGCAAGACUGUUUUACUCGAAAAUAUAAAAGAAAAAGAAAAAAUGACUGAGUUUCGAAAAAUCGAUCAAACUUAUGAUUUAAGAGAAAUCGAAUUUCCAAAAGAACAGAGUCGCCACUAAAUUUUUAAUAAAAAUCAAGAAAAAACUUAAGGUUUUCAAAAGACUCAAACAGAUAAAAUCAAUCGAAAAAGGGUUCGAGUUCAAUGUACAUUCCGAGAAGGUGUUAGGACCCUCGAAAUGCCCGCUAACUUGCGGUUGACCGGCGAUUUGACUAAAAAUGAUUUUGACUAAUUUUAAAAUUUUAACUAAGUAAAAGAACUCAUAACGACUUUGACUAAUUUUGAAAUUUUAACUAAGUAAAAGAACUCAUUUACUUUAACUUAUUUUUAAAAAUUUUAACUAAGUAAAUGAACUCAUUUAUUUUAACUUAUUUAUUUAUUACUAUUAUUAUUUUCAUCACUUUAUUUUUAUUAAUGUCAUUUAAUUAUCUUAAGGGGAAAUGAACCAAGGGAUAAUUUUUCUAAAGGGGAAUAAUUUAAGUGACGAGACAAAUAAUAAAGUAAGAGCUAAGUAAUAAAAUAUAUAUACUUUAAUUUGGAAAAUAACAUGAAAUCGCCGUCUUUGGGAAUUUAAUUAAAUUAAACCAUAAGAUAAUCAAGGUUAGUCAAACAAUACAAUAUAAAUAAAGACACAGUAACAUUCUUUUGUGUAACAAAGAUGUCUCAAUUUUUUAGACUCCCAAACACCAAAAGGAAGUUUACUAUAGCUAUGAAAUAUAUCCAGGGUCUCUAGACAUUUGAGCUUGACAAUACUAUUUGGCAAUUUUACUCUAAUUCUCCCCUCCAAUCGCACAUAGCGUAGGCAACUCAUGUUCCCAAUUUUGUUUGGGAUAGUAAUUACAUGCUGAUAACGAUCUCGAGACGUGACUACAACCAACACUUGCAAUAAUUUGAAACUAAGGUGAGCCAUAUGAGAAAAUAGGCAACUGUUAUUGUUGAAACAGAAAAGUGCACGAAGCUUCGUAGGUUUAGGAUUUGAACGGAAGAACUCAUUCAUGGCAUUAUUAUCAGAGUAGAAUGUAAUCCUUCGCACCCUAGCAACAUUGCUGGGAUCACCAAAUGCAUUGUGCUCGGUGUGAAAGAAGUUACUUUCCUUAGCCAAAUCCACACACAAACUAUGUAACAAGUCAUGUAUGCGACAACUUGAAAUUCUUCCAUCAUAUGUCCUUUUGGCAACUUGAAUCAAGUUUCUUGAAACCAAAUCAUUUAGGAAAUCCUCCGCCAAAUUUUCAGCUUCUCGCAUAUUGCCACUAUUUACAACUAUCAACUUCUCAGCAAUCCACAUAUUUGUCAAAUCAAAAGCACGAAUUUCAUGGUCCUCGGGGAAAAGACCAAAGUACAAGAAACAUGGCCUUAAUGCAAUGGGCAAAUCAUUGUAACUCAGAGCCAAUACCUUAGCACAUCCAUCUUGAACUUUAUGGCUCAUACUCUCAAGUAACCUGUUCCAUGCACGUUCUGUUCUUUCUCUUGCCCUUAACAUGCCUGCAGUCACCACAAUGGCUAGUGGUAUACCACCACAUCUACCAACUAUACUUCUACCAAUAUUUACCAAGUCAACUGAAUGAUUAUUAUCAAAAGUAAAGAUUUUCUUGGUAAAGAGUUUAAAACUAUUCUCUGAAUCUAGAGGUUGCAAUACGUGGAUUGAGAAAUCCCCUCCUAUGUAUCUGCCUACAUUACUAUUUCGAGAGGUUAUAAUUAUCCUACUGCCAAUUUUUGAAUCACAUUCAGGAAGAAGAACAAGUUUUAGAUCAUCCCAAAUUUCAACAUUCCAAAUGUCAUCUAAGAGGAUAACAUACCUUUUUCUUUUCAAGAGUGAUCUUAGGUUGCCUUCCAAGUUAUCUUUCCUUUCUUCUUUCGUCAGUCCAACUUGUUUGGCUAUGUCAAGCAAGAUUUCUCCCGCCCUUGGCUUCUGUGAAACAUAGACCAAAUAAAGUUAAGUGACUGUCUAAGAUAAUUAUUCCUAGUUGAGUGAUUUUCUAAGAUAACUACACAUAUGUAAUGACCCUCUUGGUCAUUUUCUUGUUUUGCCUUCUGUGUGUCGUUUAGAGCAUUUCUAUAGCGACCCCAAGUCAUUUAUGGCUUGCUGGGACUGACAGUUCGGUCACCUGGUCGUUCGUUUGGUCAUAAUUUGAGUUUUAGUGUUUUGGAGCUUAUGAACUUUAAACGAUCAUUUUCGAUCAAAAGUUCAAGAAGAUGACAUCGGAAUCCAAUUCUGACGAUUCCAUCAGCUCCGGAAGGGUCAUUUUAGGCUAGAAGCAUGGUCGGCAUGACUCCCGAGGUUUUCAGUGUGAGUUGGUGCGAUUAGGCGUUUUAACCUUUGAAAUUUGGCUUAGGGUUGACUUUGGUCAACAUUCUUGGAAAACGAGCUCGGAUGGAAAUUCCGUCAGCGUGGUUAGCUCCGGAAUGUCGAGUUUGGUCUAGAUUGACCCUUCUUUGUGUCUGGAGGUUUUCGAUAUCUUUCCGAGCCUUUUUUGUGGGUUUUGACUUAAAUGGCUUUUGGAAGUGGUACCCACUUUUUAUCGAAAUGACCUCUGAUGGAAAUUUCGACUGCGCCGUUGAGUCUGGAAUAUCGAAUUUGGUAUGGUUGCAUAUCUCGUUUGCGUGCACGGGGUUCCGAACGAGAUCGGAGUACCCCGUCGGAAUUUUAAGUUUGGAAGUGUUGCAGAUUUUCUGCAAUUUAUUGCAGAAAAUCAGCAACAUUUCCCAAAUUCCAAACCCUCACAACUCUCUCAUCACUCAACCGAUUUGGGUGAUUCAAAAGGCAAAGUUGUGAGAUUUUUUCGAGGGCAACAUGUUGGUGAGCUUGGAUAGUGAUUUGGAGUCCCCGUUUGAGGUAAUUUUCGAAAAAAUACCUGCUGCCAGACCUCUUUUUGUGAGUUUGAUUUUGGAAAUUUUGAGACUUGUUUUCUUAGCCAUUGUAGAUCCGAUUUUGGUGAUUUUUGAGGUAAUCUUGAGUGGUUUUUCGAGGAGAACGUUGUGGUGUUGUUAGAUUUUACUGUAGACUGCUCGUUUUUGGUAAAUACACUGCUGUCCCAUUUCUAUCUUUGAGAAAAUUUGGGUUUUGGUUGUAUGUUGGUAGUGUGUUGUUCCCGAGCCCCGAAUUGUGUCCCAUUUUGGGAUAUGAACUGGGGGAAAACUGGUUAGGACCCACUUUUGGGGUUAAUUUCAGAAUUUCCAGCGCGGGUCCCACGAUUCCCGUUUUGACUCCAAAAUUGACCCGUCUCCGUUUGUUGUGAUUUUAGUGUCUAAACGAAUGUAAUAACGUUGUGAUUCUAUUUUUGAUAGCGGGGAAGCGUUUUGAGGACGUUCGGAAAGGGAAAGCUCCGGAGAAGUGAUUUUGGAGCGCGUGUGAUUGGCCUACAGGUAGGCUACGGUUUGGUAACUGUGAGCAUGCUUUGUGUUAUUAACGGACCCUCCUCGCUAUGUGGAGUACUUGCAUGCUUAAUUACUGUUUAUUUGAAGCAUGUUGGACCUUAGCUUAGGUUUGACUAGGGCUUGCCUUAGAAAUACAUGAUUCGGAUUCGAUAGGCCUUAGUUUUACCCCGAUGUCGCUCGGCUGACUUAGAUCCCUGUAGACUGAUAUAGCAGACUUGAGUCUGAUAGUUUGGGCCUUAUCUAGGCGAUACGCUUUUUCCGAUAAUAGUUAUCCUUAUUUUCUCCGAUACUGCGGCUUCACGAGUUGCAUCGGCAAUACUAGUUCUACUUCGCGAUUUGAAUUAGAUUUUCGAUUUGGUUCCAAGGACUUUCAUUGAUUGGCUAUGUGUGGACGACAUUUCACGGACAUUUAUAAGUACGGAUCGAUUGAGACUCCUUCAGAAGUUACAUUGGCAAAAUCAUAGAGCAUCCGGUUCGAGGUCCGGCCUCUAUUGCGUCAGAUUCUACUAAUUAGGGUUGAGGUUCUGGUUCGAUGUUCUUCGUUCAUGGGUUCUUUUAUGCAAUUCUCUUUAGUUAUAGUUAUUCUGUGUACUCGUCGGGCUUAUGGGGGUCCGUUCGGGUUUUAUAUACUUAAUACUGGUGAUUAGUUACUUGGGUACUUAUAUGGAGCAUCCGGUUCGAGGUCCGGCCUCCGUACUGUCAGAUUUUACUAAUUGGGGUUGAGGUUCUGGUUCGUGUUCUUCGUUCAUGGGUUCUUUUAUGCAAUUCUCUUUAGUUAUAGUUAUUCUGUGUACUCGUCGGGCUUAUGGGGGUCCGUUCGGGUUUUUAUUUAACUUGCGCACGAGUGUACCUUCUGGGCUUAUGGGGGUCCAGUUAGGUGUAGUUAGCUUGUAGAUUACUCUAGUUAGUUCUUUAUACACUCGUGUGCAUUUCAUUGUUAGUUAGAUUUUAGUUCUUGACUUCGGUUUGUGUUAUUCCUUCUUUUCAUACUGCCUUUACUUUUCAAGUUCAGUCGGCCUAUGAUGCCUACUGGGUACCUGUUGUUUUGGUACUCAUGCUACGCUCUGCAUCUAUUUCGUGAUGCAGGUCCGGGCACUAGAAGCCAGCGUUGAUCGAGCUUGGAGCAGACUGAUCCGGAGACGGGAGUGAGCACACGACGUUUUGUACUAUUUCAGUCUCCAUCUGUAUAUAUAGACUUGUCUUUUACCUUUCGAGACAGUCCAGUCUCUGUUGUCCACUUUUGGGACUUGUACUCAUUUUGUUAGUAGCUCUGUACUAGUGACUUCCAGGUUCUGGGAGGGAUCUUUAUUUGUAUAUAUGUUUUUGGUUUGCUUCCGCCUGUUUAUAUUGUUAUUUGCCUACUCUUGUUUAGUUUCUACCCUCAGACCCAUUACUUGUUGUUCCGGUUUACGGGUUGGCUUACCUACUGGUGGGUAGUAGGUGCCAUCAUGACUUGAGAAAUUGGGUCGUGACAAGUUGGUAUCAGAGCCCCAGGUUUAUCGGUCUCACUUGUACAGAGCUAACGUCUAGUAGAGUCCUGCAUAUCGGUGCGGAGACGUCCGUAAGUAUAGUUGAGUGACUUUUGAUUUACAAAAUAAAGUCAAGUGACUUUCUGAGAAAACUAUCAAUAGUUGAGUGACUUUUGAGAAAGAUAUUCAUAGUUGAGUGACCAUUUGAGAUAUUAUCUCAAAAGGCUUUUAUUUAGAUUAAUUUCUUAGUAAAAGAUAAGGCAAGAAGGAACUACAAAUUUUAAAGUACAACUUUUGAUAAGUUAUUCUUUUUUUAAAAACCUAACAAAAUAUUAUUUAUAGUGAACAAAUCAUCUGACAAUAAACCAAGUCAAUUCUUCAUAAUACCCAAGUCUUAUUAACUUCACCGAGUGUUAAUCUGAUAACAAUAUCAAUAAGUUAAUUUUGUGGUUGAGUUAUGGUAUACGUUUCAAUCUUGAACCGUAUUCUUAUUUUCUUAAAGAAUCAUAUUCUUAUUUUUUUCCCUAAUAACUUUAAUUAAUAAAUAAGUAGAAAGAACUAUUUUUUUCUUCUUAAUAUCAUUUUAUCAACGGAAAAGGGUCAAAAUUGCCCCUGAACUAUGUGAAAUAGACCACUUAUACCCUUCGUUACAUUUUGGGAUCAAAAUUGCCCCUGCUGUUAUCCUAAGAGACCACAAAUACCCUCAAGAGUUAACACCCCAAAUUUUUAAUUGACGUGGCAAGUUACAUGGGACUAAUUCUUCCACCUAAGUGUUGCCAAUUAGGAUUCACUAAAAAAGAACUAGACCUUUAGCAGCGACAACAGUCGCCACAAAAGCCCAGAAAAUCGUCACUAAAAGUUUUUAACAUUAAAUUCUAAUUUUGUGUUUUUUUCUUCAUUGUUUUUAAAAAAUUAAAAUAUCGAUUAAGUAGGAGUUUUAAGACACUAUAUGUUUUAUUUUUAUGUCAUAUGUAAAUGUAUAAAAUGUACAAUGAUGCAUUAUUAUAUAGUAGGAGAUUUAAAUCGAGAAGUAAUUUUGAUGAUUUUUCGUAAUAAUAUUGGAUGUUUUUUAAUAUUGAUAUUGCAAGUUAUUUAUUUUAGAAAAUUAGGUUGCAAUAUAAAAUUAAUUAUCAUAUUUUUUUUGUUGAAAAAAUAGGUUUUAUUAGUGAAUGGUUGUUGGAGCUUUAGUCGCCACUAAAAAUCACUCAUAACCUUUAGUGGCAAUAUUUUGAGAUUUUGUGGCGACUUUCUCGCCACUAAAGGUCAAGUUCUUUUAUAGUGAAUCUUAGUUGGCAAUGCUUAGGUGGAGGGAUUAGUCCCAAGUGGCUUGCCACAUCACUAAUAAUUUGGGGUGUUAACUCUUAAGGGUAUUUGUGGUCUCCUGGGAUAACGACGAGGGUAUUUUUGAUCCCAAAAUGUAAUGAAGGGUAUAAAUAGUCUAUUUCACAUAGUUUAGAGGCAAUUUUGACCCUUUUUCAUUUUAUCAAUUAAAAUAGAAUAAAUGUACAUAUCUUUUUAAUUGAUAAUAUUGGUCAUACAUAUAGGAGCAUAGUAAUUAUACAAUUUGUUUACUACUAGUUCUAACUAUUUUGUAUUAAUCAAAUAUAACUUAAAGCUAAAAAGAAAAGUACCUGAUAGGUUGGAAUUUAGCUGAUGCAGUUCCUUGAUUGGAGUAAAUAUUAAUUAUAAGUGUUUUUUUCAAAAGAUGGAAAUUGACAAAUUAACCAAUAACUUCAAUUCUAUUUAUAAGUAUAUUUUUUAUAAAAAAAUAAAUAAAUUAGUUCAAUACUUGACUUGAAUGUGAGGGUAAGAUGGGCCAUAAUUUCCAAUUUAUUCUUUACUUAAACCAUAUAUAGGCAUCUUACCUUUUUUCUCAUGAAAAAGUAAAAGGAAAGUAUAAUGUUGGAGAAUUAAAAAAAGAUAAUCAUAUUUUCACUUUUGUCUGGAUGUAAAUGUUACAAAAGAAAUAAAUGAAUAUUUCAAACGGAAGUAUUUCUCGUGAAGAACUCUUUUUUCACUUUAGUUGUAAUUAUUCCAUCGGUAGUUUUGUUACAUAUUAGUUGAUCAUUUUAUUAAAAAUAUAUAGUUGUUCAUCUUUCUAAAUGAAGAAAGCAUUAAUUUUUUUUCCUAUAUUAUCCAUGCAAUUAAUUAUUUUUUAUAGUGUUCACAUUUGUUUAUUAAAUUUUCAAGAAUUUUUUUAAAGAAUGAAUUAAUAAAAUUAACUUCUUAUUUAUGAUACUUAGUAUGCUUGUAAAAAGGAAAAUGAUCAACUGAUAUCGGGAGAGUACCAGAGGCGUAUGUACAUGAAGGGGAGUGGGUUCACAUGCACCCAUCCUCCCCUUCCUAACCCCUAUAUAAUACUACUAUUUUCUAAUUAUCUUUUCAAAUUUGUAUUGGUGAACCCAAGGUUAAAAAGAAUACUCUAGUAUAUUGAUAAGUAUGUACAAAUAGAGGGUGCAUAACUUAUAGAUUUGUGGUUCAAAUUUUUAUAUCCACAUUAAUAUUUUUAAUUUUUAAUUAAUAUAACAAAAUGUGCCACUUUUCAUAGAUCUUUUUAAUAAUUUAUAAAUAAAAAGAGGUCCAAAUACCCAUAUUUUUAGGUUGCAUUAGCUAUGUCUAGACCUUAAGCUAGAAAUGUCAAUAAAGUCAAAUUAUAUUUUUACUUUCUUUUUCUCCUUUCCUUCUUUAGACGUUUUUCUUAUUUAUUUAUUUUAACUUUUUCUUUUGACUUUUCAAAGUCCUAAUCUGAAAGGUAAAAAAGAGUAAAGACAUCAUAUUGUUCUUCUUUUGGCUUCAUUCCACUUUGUUGUUCAUGGUGAAGUAGAAGUGGGAUUUGAGAACAAGUAACAAGGUAUGCUAUCUAAAAAUAAAUAAAUUAUUUAUUAAUGUACUUCAUUUGUUUUAUAUGUUUUUCUUGAUUUAUGAAGUGGUGCCAUUAUUUGAUUGCUUGAAUAAUUAAAUUUAUAAGAAUUUCUUGAUUUCUAAAUAGUUAUCUAAGAAUUGUGAUUCUUUUAUUAGUAAACUUGUUAUUUGUGUUAAUAUUUUUUAAAAAUUAUUUUGUUUUGAUAAGAUUGAAUAGAAGUGUGAAUAUUUAAUUUUGUAGGUAAAAUAAUUCUUACAUUCAAAUCAUCAAAUCACAAAUGGAUAAGUUUCUCAUCAAGUUACCAAAGCCUAAAGAUGGCCAACCAAGUUCUAGCUCUAAUAAACCAUUUGUGAGUUCACAAGUUGCUCCGGAAGUUCAAAGACAUAUAAAUUCUUUUCCACUUUUAAAUACGGAUAAUAUGCUUGAUUUUAAAUCUCUUGAAGCAGAUCCCAAAGACCGAAUGCCUAUUUCAUCUUAUGGUCCUAAUAUUCGAGAUGCGGUAAGGAGGUAUUACAUUCAAAAAAAGCCAUGUCAACUUGUUGAUCAUAUCUUCCCUAAAACUAAGUUUGGAGAUAAAAUGCGUCAAUUUCGACCAACUUGGUUUAAGAGAAGAUCUCAAUGGUUGGAAUAUAGCAUUAAAGCAGACGCGGCAUUUUGUUUGUGUUGUUAUUUGUUCAAGAUUGAACUUGAAAGACUGUCGGAGAUUCAUUUACAAGAGCUGGUUUUAGGUGUUGGAACAAAGCUUUAGAAAGAUUCAAAAACAUGUUGGUAAGGUAAAUAGUAUCCAUCAUAAAUGUUUCAAUAGGAUGCAAGAUUUGAUAAACCAACGACAAUUGAUCCAAUCUUCUUUUGACAAGCAAAGUGAAAAGGCAAGAAGUGAUUAUCGGAUGCGUUUAAAUGCCUCAAUUGAUGUAGCAAGAUUUCUUUUGACAUCGGGAUUUCCAUUUCGUGGACAUGAUGAAAGUGAAGGUUCUGAAUAUAAGGGUGCUUUUCUUGAACUUUUGAAAUGGUAUGGGAAUAGAAGUUUUGAUGUGGGAAGAGUAAUAUUAGGUAAUGCUCCACAAAAUGAUAUGAUGAUUUGUCCGACAAUUCAAAAAGAUAAUGUGGAGGCUUGUGCUAAAGAAACAACUAAGGCUAUCAUUGAAGACUUGGACGGUGACUAUUUUGCAAUAUUAGUUGAUGAAUCAAAUGAUGUUUCUCAUAAGGAGCAAAUGGCUCUAAUUUUGAGAUAUGUCAACAAAAGUGGAAUGGUGAUAGAGUGAUUCUUGGGUAUUGUCCACGUAAAUGAUACAUAUUCUCAAUCAUUUAAAAAGACAAUUUAUUCUUUGCUUUUGGAUCACUCAUUAUGUACAUCCAAAAUACGUGGUCAAGGUUAUGAUGGGGCUAGUAAUAUGCAAGGGAAAAUAUGUAACAACCCAGAAAAAAUUUAAGCUAAGACUUGAACUAUUCUUCGUUGUGAGUAGGGUUUUUUCGAGGAAUUAAAAUUUCUUAAGUGUUAAGGUCACUAGAUGUAGCACCUUGAGUUCGAGAAGGAAUUAAAUUGGAAAUAGUAAAAUCUGAAAUUUUGCAAGUUAUGAUUAAGUAUGAGUUUUGGGUCGACUUAAAACGACUAUAACUCCUAGCUCAGGAUGAGUUAGGUGUAGAUAAUUUUAUUGUCUAUGCUCAAAAGUGUGAUAGCAAGUUUCUCAACUUGAAGGGAAUCAAGCAUCUUAGCGAAGAUCUUUGAAUUAUAUUUCCAACGCCACCAAAUUUGCUAAGUUUCGAGUUCGAAAGAGUGAGAUAUGACCUUUUGAAGUUAGGCUGUCCAGUUAAGGAAAGUCAAAAUCGGAUUUUAGAGGGGUAUUUUGGUCUUUUCCAUACCCAAUCAGAUUUAAUUCGUUUUUAGUAAUAUUUUAAGGGUAUAAUCUGAUUAGGUUCAGUUUAAUAAUCCUAGUUUACGCCUAGGGUUUUAGUUGAGAUUUCAAGAAGAGAAAAGAAGAAAAGAGAAGAAGAGAAAAGAGAAAGGAUGAAGGCGUUUGUCGACGUUCUUGAGAGUUGUUGCGGAUUGUCUUAUUGAUAUGAAAACUCGUCGAGGACAAUUGUAAGUGAAUGAUGGAUGAAGAUCUUUUGAAUGGUUGUUUAGUUUGCUAUAUAGAGCGUAGUAUAUUUAAAAAUGUAAGUAAUGAUGCCAUUAUUGAUAUGAAAACUCGUCGAGGACAAUUGUAAGUGAAUGAUGUUUUUUGCUAAUAUAUUACUAUAUAAAGAUUGCUACUACCUACUUUCUCGUCAACUUGUUCUCACCGUAAAAUUUAUAUAAUUGAAUUAAUUGUCUAUUUUGAAGAUAAUGGUGCCCCCAUGUUCUUGAGAUCCUGGAUACGCCUUUGACUCCAAGGCCUGUAUCUAUUUAACAAUAAAUUGCAGGGACAUAUUCCAGAGACGAUAUGCCAUUUAUCUAAUUUGGUUGAAUUAUAUCUGUAUGGUAAUAAGCUCUCUGGGUUAAUUCCAGAAUGCUACAACUGCUUUCUUUGCAUUCUAACAAAUUAUCUUUAAACUUUCCGUUGAGCCUUUGGAAGAUGAGUAGUCUUCUCUAUCUAAGUGUGUCACAGAAUUCAAUAGAGGGAGAAGUUCCAUCAGAUAUUGGAGGACUGAAAGCCAUUGUAGAACUAUAUCUUUACAGUAACCACUUUUCAGGAAUGAUACCAAGCACAUUCGGGGAACUCCAAAACCUGCAGUAUCUUGAUCUGUCCAACAAUUCUUUUUUUGGCCAAAUUCCAUUAUCCUUUGCCAACUUGAUAAGCUUAGAUUACUUGAAUUUGUCUUUAAAUGCCUUGUCCGGUACUAUUCCUAAGUCUUUGGAAAAACUCGCAUACCUUAAAAGCAUUAAUGUUUCAUUUAAUGAUUUAGAAGGUGAAAUACCGAGUGGAGUGUUUGAAAAUUCCACUUUGCAAUCAUUUCUCGGGAACAAAGGUCUUUGCGGAAUGCACAUAUUGGAGAUUCCUGCUUGUGCUAUCACUAAUCCCAGAAAACAAUCAAAGCUUAAGGAGGUUGUGCUAAAAAUUGUUACUCCAGUGGUUAUUGCAUCCUUUCUGAUAUUCUUGUUCGUUUCAAUUUGGAUAAUGAAACGACAGAGAAAGGGAUGUCCAAAGAUGUUGAAAAGGUAUUGGAGAUCGGGACUCAUCAAUUAAUUUCUUAUCAUGAGAUUCAACGAGUAACAAAUAAUUUUGAUGAAUCCAAUUUAAUAGGUGAGGGAAGCUCUGGCUCUGUGUACAAAGGAACAUUGUUUGGUGGAACUGCAGUGGCCAUUAAGGUUCUCGAUUUGGAAAAUGAGCAAGUAUGCAAGAGGUUUGAUACCGAAUGCGAAGUGAUGAGAAAUGUUAGACACAUAAAUCUUGUUUCAGUGAUUACUACAUGUUCUAAUGACUAUAUAAGAGCCUUUGUUCUGCAAUUUAUGCCCAAUGGAAGUCUUGAGAAUUGGCUGUACAAAGAAGAUCGCCACUUGAACCUUCAUCAAAGAGUCACUGUAAUGCUUGAUGCAGCUAUGGCAGUUGAAUAUCUACUUCAUGCAGGGGCAUAUAUAGGAGGGGGUCACCGGGUUCACGUGAACCCAUGGUUCCCUCCGAAAAUCAUAUAUAGUAGUGUUAUAUUUUUUUAAAAUAUUUAAAUAUAGAUGCGUGAACCCAGACUCGAAGUAUCAUAUAAUGUAGUACGAUGAUGAUUGGGUGCACCUCUCUAGGUGAGGUUAAAAAUUUGAAUCUUUUAUCUAUCUUGUUUUAGUUUUCUUUCUAAGAUUUUGUAACUGGUUUGGAUCAAUAAAAGUUAAUUUUGGACCUAUGAUUUUAAAAUUUUAAUGGUUUUCAGUAAAAAGAAUAUAACUGAUCAAAUUUAUGUCUUAGAUCCACCUUAUUGUAAUAGUGCACCCAUUAUCUAUAAAUCCUGAAUACGCCUCUGACUUCAUGGUCAUGUCGCUCCAAUAGUUCAUUGCGACUUAAAGCCAGCAAACGUUCUUUUGGAUGAGGAUAUGGUCGCUCAUGUUGGUGAUUUUGGAAUCUCUAAGAUUUUAGCUGUCAGCAAGUCCAUGGCACAUACAGAGACAUUGGGGCACUCUUGGAUACAUUGCACCAGGUAUAAAAAGCCUACUCUCAUUGAUUUUCUCUUAUCAUAAUUAUAUUUCAAUUGAGUAACUUUUGUGCAAUCCUUUUCUACGAAUAUGGCUCGGAGGGAAUAGUGUCCACUAGUGGUGAUGUUUAUAGCUAUGGCAUCAUGUAGAUGGAGGUUUUGACGAAAAGAAGGCCAACAGAGGAAGAGAUAUGCAAUGGAAAUCUCGACUUGAGAAAAUGGAUUACACAAUCAUUUUCAGGGAGUAUGAUGGACGUUGUGGAUGCCAAUCUUUUUUGUGAGGAAGAACAAACCACUAGUAAAAGUGAAAUGUGCAUAGCCUCCAUGAUAGAAUUGGCUUUAGAUUGCACAAAGGAAGCGCCACAAUCAAGAGUGACCAUGAAAGAAGUAGUGAAGAGGCUUAACAAAAUCAAGAAUGCAUUUCUAGAAACAUAGAAUUGCAAAUUAAUAUGAUGCUUUUUGUUGUUUAAUAAAGUUGUCGUAUAGUACUACUUGAAUUCAUGUAUUGUUUGUAAUUUCAUUUGAGUGAUUAUGUUUUGAAUGCUUGAAAGAAAUCAGAAAUAAAGGUGUUUAGCUGCACGAUUUUGUUUUUUGAAUGUGAUGAAACAAUUAGUGAAUUGAGCACUUUUGAUUUCCUUGUACUAAUUAAUUACUGUAAACAAUUAGGGAAUUGAGCACUUUUCAUUUUCUUGUACUAAUUAAUUACUGACUUCUUUGGACUUUACCUGCACAAGUAUUCCAACAAGCCUAUCUUAACACCAGAGAGUUCCAAAAGAAAAAUUGGUAACCUGAGCCAGCUUCCAAUUUUGUCCUUGGUCGAUAAUCAUUCCCGAAACACUGUUGUCCCUAUCUGAGCCAGCUUCCAUUUUUUCACAAACAGUGUAACAUUUAUAUAAGCGAGCAAUAAACAUCUCUAUUAUAACCUUAGUAAGCUCAGUAUGAGUAUUAUGGUUGAGUUUCAAGCGAAAACAAGUUUAGCAAAAAAGACGAGAAAUAAUGGUAAAAAACACUUUUGAAGUAUCAUUUUUUUAGCGAGUUUCAUGCCUGAAAGGUUUUUUAAUUUCCUGCUUGAACUGCCACCAACUAUUUAUUAGAACAUACCUCUCGAAUUCUAUAUUUAUAUUAAAUGGUUAAGCAACAUACAAUUUUUUCCAAACUUGUCUUAGACUGCAUGACCUCUCAUUGACUUGGUUCUGGACCAUAUAAUAAAUAAUGCAACUUAUUUAAUUAAAAAAAAAUAUGAUUUUAAUAAUACAAGUUGACUGACUUUUCUCAAUCAAUUCCCUUACCCCUCAGUAUACGCAUAAUUGACCUGUCUUCUUGUGGUUUUGUCUUUAUAAAGUUGGCCUAUGUAAUAUUCCUCAAUGAGAUGACAUUUCAAUAACGUGUAAUAAUACAUCACAGAAAAGUUUGUGGAAAUCACAACCAUAUCUAUAAAAUGAUUUGACUUUAAAUAUUUCAUUCAAUAUGAAUUUUAUAGUUUAGGUAUGAAACUUGCAAAACAAAAAUAGUUCAGUGGUUUAUUAACCUAUUCAAUCUUAAACGAAUGCUAUGAUCACUUUAUCUUUCAGUUACAUAUUACACAUAAAAGUUGUUCAAGAAUAUUAUAUAUUCACAACAAUUAUUAAUUAUAGUGAAUGAAAAAAUAUAUUAUGUAUGAUUUCAGAUUCACUGUUAUGUAAUCGAAAUGCACAAACAAGUUUCUAGGGGAAGAUUUACCAUAAUUAUAACGAUGAACAGGCCGUAGAUAAAUUACUUUCUGGGUAAGCAUUGUGCAUGUAGCUAGUUACGACCCGAUUUCGAAGACUAAGGUUUCGAAGCCAUUUUCGCAACUUUGGCAAAUUUUAGUUAGGUUUUGGAAAAAUUUAUAAUUUGGAAGUCGCCAUUUAAUUUUUUAGGAAAAAUUAAGAAAGCCAUUUAAAAGUGGGUUUUAUGAAAGAAAACAUUUCAACAAAACUAGAGUCGGGAAAGGGUUCAAGUAAUUCUCUAAGGAAGGGUUUAGGCAUCUUAAAGAAUCUGCUAACACUUGAUUGACCGAUGGAUUUAAAAGUUGGCUAAUUUUUUUUAAAGAUAACUUAUUACUUGUGAAAAUCUUGUUGAGAAUAACAAAAGCCUUUUGAUACUUAUACACUAAUCUUAUUCCAAGUAAUGAAAUAAGUCAAAUGCUAAAGUGUCAAAAUAAUAAUUUUAAAUUUAACAUUUUAUCCGAGUUAAGAUUUUGAACUAAAUGGUUAGCUCAAUCUCACCAACGUGGAUUCAAAGCUAAUUGCUAACUAUGAAAGAAUAUGGAAAAAUCUCAAGUUAGUCUAAGAGCUUAAGUUGCCUAACUUGAAAGAGUUUUGAAAAUUUAAAUACUUAAAGUAGACAACUAACGAAAUAGAAGAGCCAUUAAAAAACUCCCAAGGAUUCAUCUAAGUUAGAUAUAAGAAGAAAAUGUUAGCAUUUCUAAAAUAAGAACAGAAACAAGAUAACACAAAUAAAUAACAAGAAUCUAGGCUCUUGGCCUAAAAUGCUCCUCACUUACUGUUACGGUAUAAAUUGGACCUUUUUAAGUCCAAAAGUUCCCAAUUUUAGUCCUUUUGGGACUGCUUCUACUGCUGCAAUAAUCAAAUUGGAUUCUUAAAUCCAAAAUUCAAUUUUCGGCCAUUUGGAAUUGUUGUUACUCCGCUACUUAGCUGCUGCCACUGAUUUGGGUUUUAACCCAUUAAUAUUAGCUUCCCCUUUAUAACUUUGGCGGAGGUCGACUCAAAGAAAGGAAGAUGCAAGAGAGGGGAGUCCAAUUGGACUCAUUCGGAGGGAGUUCCUGCAAAGUAGAGAAAAGGAAGAAGAAUUAGCACAUGUAGCGAGAAAAUGACACUUCAGUUUUAAACAUUCAAACACAAGGAUGAAAUUAACCAAAUAAAACUAUCGUGAACAAAGGGGGAAAAGAAACAGAUCCGAAGCUAUUGCUAAGUUCAUAAAUCCACAAAAUGAUUAAUUAGUCACUGGACCUUUUGAUCUAUACAACCAGCAAAAGGCAUACUUACAAUGGCCAAAAUUGUACUAAACAUGCAAACGUAAUCAGCCAUCAGUUAAAUAAAAGAAAAGAUAGUAGCGUUCCGAUUUUAGCUUAGACUUCAUAUAUCAUUGACUAGUGACUUCUUUCACCAAAAACAAGCUCAACGUACAUAUCUAUAACAAAACUACAAAAGCAGACCCCAAAAGCAGAGCCUUCAGGCAACAACUUCUUUUGAAAUCGAAAAACAAAACACCACUUUAUAUAAUUAAGACGAUAAAAAAAAGAAUUCCAGAUUUGAACCAAUGAAAAUCGAACAUAGUCUAACAGAAGGAGUACAACUAUAUUCAGAAAAAUGAGAACUGGACAGAUUUUAAAACAAAGAAAACUAAUUAAAUAUCUCAAACUCAAACCAAUCUUUAAAGCAGGGGAUUUAAAAAAGAUUGCUAAAGCAAAAGACUACUACAAGAAGCUUUACCAGGAGACAAGCAGAGAACAUUCAAUACUAAAUAACACGUCUCAAAUAAUCAGUUUAAGGCACAAAAUAGAAAGAAAUUGCUAAAUGAGCUCACAUUUAAAAAUCAAAACGACACCAACAUCUAUUUUGAGAAACAAAGAAACCUUGAAAUAAUCCGCAUGAUACAGAGGAAUUAAAAGGAGACUUAACCAUCCAAACUAAAAAAUAAAUAAAAAAUGUCUAGCAUAAGACAAACAAGAAGCUUCUCAUCCAUUUCCGAUACAACUAAGAAAAACUAAAACUAUUAAGAGCGAAUUUGCGGGUAUUUAAGAAACUAUUAAGACAAGAAAUAAAAUACUAAGACCUUAGUUUUAAAUCUAAUUAACCAAUUUACAUAUUCAAGUUUUCAAAUCAGUGAACUGUUAGCCAUAACACAUAACAAAAAUUAGCAUCUACAAUAGAAAUUAACAUAUAGAGUAGAAACUAUACCAAGCAAGAAUAAAUAGUCUAGAACAGAAAACUUAACAACAUAAAAAUAAAGAAACUUAUGAGACUAAACCCACAUAAAACAACAAAGAAAUCAUACUAUCCAAAUGCUCGAACCAACUUAAGGAGAGAAAAGAAUUUACCUUUUGCCGAGCAGGAACCAAGACGACGAGCUCGAGAAUGACACCACCUUCAACUCUGUUGGUAAAUUUUAGUAGUAUGAGUUUUAGAAAGCAGAGAAGUCAAGAAGAAUAUUGGUAGAAGAACAUUUUUAUUGAUGUCUUCAGAUUUCAUUUAUAAGACUGGAAUGAAAAACAGAAAGCAGUAAACCCACUACUAGCAUAUUCCUAACUCACUAACUUACUCCUAAAUGAUAGGAAUAAAUGGCUAACAACUAAUUGACUAAGUCUUAUCUAAUAUAAUGCAGUAAAAGUAAAAGUGCAGUUGAAAAAGCAAAUUCCUAACACUCCUCCUUGCUUUGGAAACUGCAAACUCCAAUUUUCUGUCUAAGAAGCUGAAACUUGCCGACUGGUAAAGGCUUAGUGAAUAUAUCAUCCAAUUGUUCUUCCGUCUUGCAGUAGACAAGAGUUAUAUCUCCAUCUUUUUGCACUUCUCUCAAGAAAAAGAACUUGAUUUUGAAGUGCUUAGUUCUUCCAUGAAACACAGGAUUGUGAGAUAUAGCUAUUGCUGCUUCAUUGUCCACGAACACUUUGAUGCUUCCAGUCGGUUCCAUAUGCAAAUCAACCAGAAUUUUCUUCAGCCACAAUGCUUGAUUUACUGCUGCUGCAGCUNNNNNNNNNNNNNNNNNNNNNNNNNNNNNNNNNNNNNNNNNNNNNNNNNNNNNNNNNNNNNNNNNNNNNNNNNNNNNNNNNNNNNNNNNNNNNNNNNNNNNNNNNNNNNNNNNNNNNNNNNNNNNNNNNNNNNNNNNNNNNNNNNNNNNNNNNNNNNNNNNNNNNNNNNNNNNNNCCUGAAGUACUCUUUGCAUCAUCCUCGGAACCGCCCCAAUCACUGUCGGAAUACCCACAAAGCUUCACAGGUUGACUCUUCUGAAACUUGACUCCAUAGGUGAUGGUUCCUUUGAUGUAUCGCACAACUCUUUUGGCUGCCUGCAAAUGUACUUCACUAGGACAAUGCAUGAAUCUUGAUAAAACACUUACAGCAUACAAUAUAUCAGGUCUUGUUGCUGUAAGAUACAUUAAACACCCAAUGAAACUUCUGAAGUAUGUCUCAUCCACCUUUUCGGCUCCAUCAUCUUUACUUAGUUUCUCUUUUUGGUUCAUGGGAGUACUAAUCUCUUUGCAAUUGUCCAUUUUGAAUUUCUUGAGAAUUUCCUUUGCGUACUUUUUCUGGCAAACGAAAAACUCAUCUUUUCCUUGUGUAAUCUCCAUUCCAAGGAAAUAUGUCAUAAGACCAAGAUCAGACAUUUCAAAAGCUGGCAUCAUAGCUUGCUUGAACUCCUCAAUUAGCUUUUCACUGCUCCCUGUAAUCAAAAGGUCAUCCACAUAAAGAGAAACAACAAGAAUCUCACUGCCAUUAUGUUUAACAUACAAUGUGAAUUCUGAAAGACUCUUUUCAAAAUCGAGACCGAGAAAAUAAUCAUCUAUUCGACUAUACCAAGCUCUUGGUGCUUGUUUUAAGCCAUAAAGAGCUUUAUGUAGUCGAUAGACUUUAUCUUCCUUUCCAUCUAUAACAAAUCCUUCAGGUUGCUCAACAUAAAUUUCUUCUUCAAGAAUGCCAUUAAGAAAUGUUGAUUUGACAUCUAUUUGAUGCACUUUCCAGCCACGUUGUGCAGAAACAGUUAUAAGCAAUCUGAUUGUGUCGAGCCUAGCAACAGGAGCAAAAGUGUCAGAAUAAUCUACACCAAAAAUCUGUGCAUAACCCUUAACUACAAGCCUUGCUUUAUGCUUGUUGAUUGAACCAUCAGCAUUUAGCUUGGUUCGGAACACCCACUUUACCCCAAUUACUUUUCUGCCUUGAGGUUUGUCAACAAGUUGUCAUGUAUCAUUUUUUUCGAUCAUAAACAACUCCUCCUCCAUUGCAUUUCUCCAAUUGGGGUCUUUUAGAGCAUCUUUAGGGUUAGCAGGUUCACGAAUCGCAACAUUGCAUCUCUCAUAUAUAUCAGAGAGCAAUCGAGUUCCCCGAACUGGUGGAUCAUCGUCCCUUUCAUUUAACCACGAGCUUGUUUUUUGGAUGGAAUUCCUUGAGUCAUCCCAAUCCCAUUCUUCAUUCUCCAUGAAGUGGACAUCUCUGCUGAUAAUUAUCUUCUCACCUUCAGGUUGAAAGAUUUUGUACGCUUUUGAAACAUUACUGUAGCCAAUAAAAAUGCCCGGGGCAGCCUUCUUAUCUAGUUUAUCCCGUUUGACCUGAGGUACAUAGGUAAAACAAAGACAACCAAACACUUUAAGAAAAUGCAGUGGAGGCUUGUAUCCAUACCAUGCUUCAAAAGGAGUUUGAUCUUUCACAGCUUUUGAGGGAAGUCGAUUUUGUAGGAACAUAGUUGUACUUGCUGCCUCUGCCCAAAACAUCUUUGGCAAAUUCUUUUCGUGCAACAUACAUCUUGCCAUCUCCAUGAUAUAUCUGUUUCUUCUCUCACUAACUCCAUUUUGUUCUGGAGUAUAAGGAGCAGUAAGUUGACGUUCAAUCUCUGCUUCUUCACAAAAUAGAUCAAACUGAUGAGAAUUGUACUCCUUGCCAUUGUCAGAUCGUAAAAUCUGAAUUUUGCAGCAACUUUCAUUUUCCAACUUCGCUUUCAACUUCGAAAAAAUGAUCUUGACCUCCGAUUUAUACUUUAAAAAAUAAAUCCUGCAUCUUCAGGUCAGAUCAUUAAUAAAAAUAACAUAAUAAAGACUACCUUUAAGUGAAGGAGUCCUUUGGGGCCCUCCAAUAUCGGUGUGAACCAGCUGCAACUUUCUUGUUGCUCUCCAAGUUGCCUUUGGGAAUGGAAGUCUACUUUGUUUUCCAAAUUGACAAGCCCGACAAUUUUUAGAACUCGCUCCCAGUUUAGAAAGGUUCUCGACUAUCACCAAUUCUUGCAUUUUGAGAAGCCCUUGAUAAUGAUAGUGUCCGAGUCUCUUAUGCCAUAACUCGGAAGCAUUUUCUCUUGCCGAAUACACCACUUGUUCUUCCUCCAAUGGAUUUAAUGAGAAACUUCUGCCUCUCAUUUUGACUUUAAACAAGUCAUGUCCUGAGGCUUCCUUGAUCAAGCAAUGAUUAUUUUUGAAAUACAAUUUGAAACCUUUUUCUAACAAUUGACCAACACUUAACAAGUUCUGAUCUAAAUCUGGUACAUAAAGAACAUCGGAAAUUGCUUUAGUACCUGAUUGUGUUUCAAUUGUAAUAGUUCCCAUUCCUUUUACCGGAAUAGAACCGCCAUGACCUAUUCUGACUUUUGUAACUCCAGUAGGCUUCAAGUCUUUAAAGAUCUCUUUGUCAUGAGUCAUAUGGUUUGUGCAUCCGCUAUCAAUCAGCCAAGACUCAGUUGAAACAUUGCUUACAAAACACGAUGCCACAAAGAGUUGAUCCUCUUCCUGUUCAUUAACAACCUGGGCAUCUGCGUCUUGCUACUGUAAUUUACUCUUGCAAAUAAUUGCUUCAUGCCCGAGUUGGUUGGACUUACUGCAUUUAGCAUCAGGCCUUUUCCAACACUUAUACGGCGCAUGACCAUUCUUUCCACAAUGCUUACAAGGAGGAUAGUUUCCUUUAAAGCUACCUGUUUUGCUUUUGUUGUUGUAACGAGCUGCUCCUUCUCCAUUUUUUGGCUGGUUCUUCUUAUUGUUUUUCUUUUUGUAUCUUCCACUCUCUUCAUGUUUGGCCGCCAAUGCUCCCUCUCUNNNNNNNNNNNNNNNNNNNNNNNNNNNNNNNNNNNNNNNNNNNNNNNNNNNNNNNNNNNNNNNNNNNNNNNNNNNNNNNNNNNNNNNNNNNNNNNNNNNNNNNNNNNNNNNNNNNNNNNNNNNNNNNNNNNNNNNNNNNNNNNNNNNNNNNNNNNNNNNNNNNNNNNNNNNNNNNNNNNNNNNNNNNNNNNNNNNNNNNNNNNNNNNNNNNNNNNNNNNNNNNNNNNNNNNNNNNNNNNNNNNNNNNNNNNNNNNNNNNNNNNNNNNNNNNNNNNNNNNNNNNNNNNNNNNNNNNNNNNNNNNNNNNNNNNNNNNNNNNNNNNNNNNNNNNNNNNNNNNNNNNNNNNNNNNNNNNNNNNNNNNNNNNNNNNNNNNNNNNNNNNNNNNNNNNNNNNNNNNNNNNNNNNNNNNNNNNNNNNNNNNNNNNNNNNNNNNNNNNNNNNNNNNNNNNNNNNNNNNNNNNNNNNNNNNNNNNNNNNNNNNNNNNNNNNNNNNNNNNNNNNNNNNNNNNNNNNNNNNNNNNNNNNNNNNNNNNNNNNNNNNNNNNNNNNNNNNNNNNNNNNNNNNNCAAGGUAUGUGAGCUUUUAGUGUUGGGUGAUCCUUUCCCCCACACACCUAGCCCUUUUUUUUCUUAUCAAGAAAGGAUGGGCUUGUUGAUAAAGUUGUUAGUUGUUGUGGUUGNNNNNNNNNNNNNNNNNNNNNNNNNNNNNNNNNNNNNNNNNNNNNNNNNNNNNNNNNNNNNNNNNNNNNNNNNNNNNNNNNNNNNNNNNNNNNNNNNNNNUGGAUCCAUUAGGAAGUUCAGGUCCUAUACCUUUGGCUGGGUAUAACAUGCGCUGGCAGCGUGAGGUAGAUCGUUGUAUCAUCACUAUAGCUCUUAAGUGAUGGUUGUCGGUUAGAGAAACUCCCACAAAAGUUAUUGUAUUUUUAUAUGCACGGUUGAUUGUAUUUUUACAUACAUUUCAGAGUUAUGUUGUAUCCUUGCAUACACACAGAGUUGACAGCAUGUUUUUAAAUAGUUUGUUUCUUUAUAUUGCACUUGUUUUAAAUUGCUUUAUAUUCAAAUGAGUUCAGCCAUAUUGAGUUGAGUACCCAGAGUCGAAUAUCAUAUCUUUGAGUUGAGUAUCUAAUCUCUGAGUUGAGUAUCUUAUCCUUGGGUACUUCUGAGUUGAGUAAUUUGAGUAGUUUUGAGUAUCCUUGAGUAUUCCUUGAUUUGAGUAAGUUUCAGAAGAGAUAAGUAUGCUUCCUUUUUAUCAAGUUUCAAGCUUAUGUUAUGCUUUAGAAUUCCCCUUACAUGCUCGUACAUUCCACGUACUGAGUCAUUUGACCUGCACUUUCUCAUGAUGCAGACACAAGUAUUCAGGAUCAUCAACAGGAGCUUCGUUGAUACAUCCGAGAGUUCGAGGUAGCUAUGGUGAGCCUCCUAGUUUCCGAAGGAUUUCAUUUACUUUUAAGUUUAGUCAGGAUGUCGUGGGUCUUGUCCCGACUUCCAUCUUUAUCAAUUAGAGGUUUUCAUAGAUAGUCAGUAUAGUUGAGAAGUCUGUAUCAUUUAUUUUAUUAAAUGUUUUAAAGACUUAAGUUGCCUAUUUUAUGGCGAGUUGAAUAAUUUAUUUUAUUAUUCAGAGUUUUCAUUUGAGUUAAAGUUGUAAUUUAAGUUUUAUGUAACUUUUGUUUCUAGUUUUAAGCUUUGUAUGCUUGAAUCUAGUUUUCCGCUUGUAGUCAGCCGAGGAUGGAGGGUUCGCUUGGGGACCAGCAAUGGUCUUCGAGUGCCGGCCACGUCCAGGGUGUAGGCUCGGGUCGUGACAAAAUAAAUGGUCUCAAGUCUUUAAUUUUACAAGAUACAUCAUCUGCAUAUUCUAUUCACUGUUUUGCUCACCAAUUGCAAUUGGCACUUCUAGGUCUUUCCAAAAAGAAUUAGGAUGUGGAUAAUUUUUUUUAUGUUCUCACUAAUAUUUUGAAUACUAUUGAAGCUUCAUUUAAACGCAGAGAUUCACUUCGACAACAUCAAGAAGAUAAGUUGGAAAAGUUGCUUAAAUUUGGAGAAGUUCAUACAGGGUAAGGUUUGAAUCAAGAACGUGGCCUCCAACGACCGGGUGAUACUCGUUGGGGGUCUCAUUUUAAAACCUUGGACAAUUUCCUAAUUUUUUUUUCUUCAAUUGUUAAUGUGCUUAAGAAUAUGAAACGUGAUUGUCCAUAUCAUCUUGAUAGAUUUGCGGCGGAAAAUCUUUUGAGCAAGAUUCAUGAAUUUGAAUUUGUCUUUAUGUUGCACUUGAUGUUUAAGGUGUUGCUAUUGACGAAUGAGUUGAAUAAAGUUUUACAAAAGAAAGAUCAAAUAUCGUAAUGCUGUGGGAUUGCUUGGCCUUUCAAAGAAACGAUUGCAAAUGAUGAGAGAGGAUGAAUGGGACUCUAUGAUGGAUGAGGUUAGCUUAUUUUGUGGUAAACAUGGAAUUUCAAUUCCCAAAAUGAAUGAAGACUACUCUAAUGGGAAGUCGAAGCGUAAGAGGUCCAAUAUUUCAUAUUUGCAUCACUUUCGUGUGGAAGUAUUUUAUGCCGUCAUUGAUUUGGCACUUCAAGAACUCAAUAAUCGUUUUGAUGUGGUGACUAGUGACUUGCUCCUCGGUAUGGCUAGUUUGAGUCCGGUUGAUUCAUUUGCUAAUUUUCACAAGGAUAGGAUAAUGAAACUAGCCGAGUACUACCCAAGUGAGUUUGGUGAUAAAGAGCUUCGGGAACUCAAUUUUCAACUUGAUGAUUUUAUUGUCUAUGCUCAAAAGUGUGAUAGCAAGUUUCUCAACUUGAAGGGAAUCAAGGAUCUUGCAAAAGUGAUGAUAGAGACAAAACUAGAUCAAACUUGGUCACUUGUGUAUCUACUUGUGAAGCUAACUUUGAUUAUUCCUGUUGCUACCGCAAGCGUGGAAAGAGCAUUCUCAUCAAUGAAGUACAUAAAGAAUGAUUUGCGUAAUAGGAUGGAUGAAGAUCUUUUGAAUGGUUGUUUAGUUUGCUAUAUAGAGCGUAGUAUAUUUAAAAAUGUAAGUAAUUAUGCCAUUAUUGACCGUUUUCAAAAUAUGAAAACUCGUCGAGGACAAUUGUAAGUGAAUGAUGUUUUUUGCUAAUAUAUUACUAUAUAAAGAUUGCUACUACCUACUUGCUCGUCAACUUGUUCUCACCGUAAAAUUUAUAUAAUUGAAUUAAUUGUCUAUUUUGAAGAUAAUGGUGCCCCCAUGUUCUUGAGAUCCUGGAUACGCCUCUGGAGAGUACGUAAUAAAACAACUUGCACUUCGGGUGAUAGUGAAGAAAAUUAUAUACAUUCCCUUUAUUAAAUAAAAUACUUUGAUUUAUUUCUCAUCUUAAACCUAUUAAUUUUCACAAAUAUGAUUACUUAAAAUAAUUAUCAGCCAUAUAUUAUUGAGAAGUUAAUGUUUUUGACGAUUAACACUAGAAAGAAUUUGUAAAAUGUGAGCUAUAUAUCAAUUCCCUACUUGCACUUGCUAUAACAGGUAGUAAUUUAUAUUAGAGGGGUGAAAAAAUCUAAUCGAUCGAUAAACUAAAAUGAAAAAAGUGCUAUUGAUUUAUUGUUAUUGGGUUAUUGGGUCAACGAGGUUUUAAUGGUUUUAUAGAAAGAAAAAAAAUAUUGGGUUACCGGUUCGAUUUUAAUUUUUAAUAUUGGGUUAUUGGGUAUAACGAUAACCCAAUAAGACUAUAAUAAUUUACUAUUUUACUCAUACAUAAACAUUAAAUAUUAAUCGCAAUACCUUACUAGUUAGUGCAUUUGUCCUUUCACCUUCACAUCACACUUCACAGUGAUCACUUUAAGUUCAAAAAUUCACAUUAUACAAAACGUCAAAAUAUAAAGUAAGAAGCAUAUUCCUCUUAGUUUUUUUUUGUGUUACACUUGUAUAAUUCUUUUCAUGUUAGUUAUUAUUGUUUCUAUUUUAUGAGUAUUUGUAAAGUUACGGUAUUAUCUUGCCGCGUUAAAUUGUUUGAGAAGUCAUAUAUUUGUUUUAUAAGUAUUUUCUUAUUGGUUAAAUCAAAUAUCGAACCGCUAAGGACCCAAAACCAAUAAAAAAAUAUUUAAUUGAUUUGGUUAUUGAUUAAACGAAUUUAUAAACCGAUAAAUCAAACCAAUAAAAUACGACCCUAAUUUAUAUUUGCGAGUAUUGAUUAUUGAAGAAGAGAAGAAACGAAAGCUACUGCUAAUUCCAAAGGUAAAUAUACAUAAGUGAUAAGACAAUAAAUAAAUAUGUUUUACAAAUCACAAGCCACAAAUACAUCAAGCAAUCAAACAUUUAUUUAUUUAUUUAUUACAAUUACAAUUUACAAUCAAUCAUUCUGAAAUGCAUCUGCAAUUCAUUAGACAUAAAAUAUUUAGUUGAUUCAUUAAAUAAAAUUGUAAUUAACGUAGCAAACUAACCUAUUGACGCAUUGUGAAUUUCAUAUUCUCAGCUUUGCAAGACGUUCAGAGAGACUAAUUGGAGAACCGCUGCCUUGUACAAGUAACAACUUUUUCAAUUUAGGCAUACUGACAUCAUCCCUACACAUUACUUCAGACAACCCAUCUGGUUCAUUAAUAUGCAGAAAUUCAAGUUGCGGAAAGCUAUCACCACCAGAGAGAUCCAUUUUUUCUUCCAUAUGACUGCACCAAUCCAUUUUAAGUAUCCUUAAUUUGGGUAAUUUCUUAAGCACUGCCACUACAUGACCGUCUACCUUAUAGCGGACAAGAGUAAGCUUGACAAGAUUUGGAGGGAAUGCUUCAGAGUUCAAGCGCAUUGUUCCGCAAACAUUGAUCAAACACAACUUAACAAUAUUUGGAUAGGACGACAAGUUUAUUUGCUCACUCAUGUGCCUGGAAACACUGAGCUUCAGAACUUCCAGCGCCGUUGGCACAGGGCUCAAUGCUGAUAAUAUCUUAACUGUAGAAUCAGAUACUCCUAUUAUACCCAGUUUUCUUAAAUUCAUCAAUCGGUGCAACAAUGUCGCCUCAAAAAAUUUAUCAUCCAGCCACAUCAAAGUUUGUACAUUAUUAUGAGCCAAUGAGUACAAGUUUGGAAAAAUUGGGCUUAUAGAAAAGCAACUGUUAGAUGCUUGAUUAGAACCUCCAUAACAAAGAUGUUUCAAUUGUGUAGACUUCCAAACACCAGCAGGAAAUUUAAUUAAGCUAUAACCAAUAUCGAGGGUCUCUAGACGUUUGAGCUUCAGCAUACAAUUUGGCAGUUUCCCAUAAAUAUGCCCCUGGAAUCGCAGAUAACGUAAGCAACUCAUGUUCCCAAAUGUGUUUGGGAUACUGACAUCACAAAUAUCAUCAACAAAGAUGACUACAACCAACACUUGCAAUAAUUUGAAAUCAAGAUGAGCCAGUUGAGAAAAUAUGCAAGGGUCUUCUGUAAAACAGAAAAGUGCACGAAGCUUCUCAAGCUUAGUAUUUGAACGGAAGAACUCAUUCAUGACAUUAUUAUCAGAGUAGAAUGUAAUCCUUCGCACCCUAGCAACAUUGCCGGGAUCACCAAAUGCAUUGUGCUCGGUGUGAAAGAAGUUGCUUUCCUUAGCCAAGUCAACACAUAAACUAUGUAACAAGUCAUGUAUGCGACAACUUGAAAUUCUUCCAUCAUAUGUCCUUUUGGCAACUUGAAUCAUGUUUCUUGAAACCAAAUCAUUUAGGACAUCAUCCGCCACACUUUCAGCCUCUCGCCCAUUGCCACUAUUUACAACUAUCAACUUCUCAGCAAUCCACAUAUUUGUCAAAUCAAAAGCACGAAUUUCAUGAUCCUCGGGGUAAAGGCCAAAAUACAAGAAACAUGGCCUUAAUGCAAUUGGCAAAUCAUUGUAACUCAGAGCCAAUACCUUAGCACAUCCAUCUUGAACUUUAUGGCUCAUACUCUCAAGUACUCUGUUCCAUGCACGUUCUGUUCUUUCUCUUGCCCUUAACAUGCCUGCGGUCACCUCAAUGGCUAGAGGUAUACCUCCACAUCUCCCAACUAUAUUUCUACCAAUAUCUACCAACUCUGGUGAAGCAUUGGCCCAAUUAUUAUUGUUAUCAAAAAUAAAGAUUUUCUUGGUAAAGAGUUCAAAACUGUUCUCCGAAUUUAGAGGUUGCAACACGUGAAUUGAGAAAUCCCCUCCUAUAUAUCUGACUACAUUACUAUUUCGAGAGGUUAUAAUUAUCCUACUGCCAAUUUUUGAAUCACAUUCAGGAAAGACAAGUUUUAGAUCAUCCCAAAUUUCAACAUCCCAAAUGUCAUCUAAGAGGAUAACAUACCUUUUUAUUUUCAAGAGUGACCGUAGGUUGUUCUCCAAGUUUUCUUUCCUUUCAUCUUCCGUCAGUCCAACUUGUUUGGCUAUGUCCUGUAAGAUUUCUCCCGCCCUUGGCUGUUGUGAAACGUAGACCAGUCCCCGAACACUCAAAUUGAUGACGGACAUGCCUAUAAAGUUUCUUGGCAAGAGUUGUUUUUCCCAAUCCGGGCAUGCCAACUAUUGAAACAACUCCAUAAGGCAAAUCUUGAUCAAGUAAUUUGGCUUGUAGCAUUUUGAAGUCAUCAUCCAAACCGAUGACCUCUGUUCAUCAGCAUGAAGGAAUAAUCUUCUCUUGGUCCAAUGGAAUGCAAUCAUCAUUAUUGUUGUUACUUGUAUCCAUGAUGUUGUAAGUUGUCCUUACACGGUCAAUAUCAGCAACUCUCUUUUUAUCUUCUCAAUCUCCAUAGCAAACUCAUCGGCAAAAGAAACCGUCUUAAGGCAACAAAUGAACUUAUUGGAUUGUUGAAUUUUUGGAAGAAACUCAUCUAAUAGAUCCUCCACAUCACCUGCCAGUUGUUGAAUAUCUUUUAAUAAGUUUUUGACCCUUGAAUCGCCUCCAACUUCCUUGGCCUUUGCAUCGUCUACAUAUGAUCGAAUGUGUCUCAUUUCUCUCUGGAGCCAAUCGAUGUCUUCUUUCAACCAAUAUAAACGCGUUCCUUGUUGAAAGAGUAGAUUUCCAGCUAUUUCUACAGAUUUAUUGAUGACUGCUGUAAGAAGAAUUUCAGCCAUUUCUUUUUCAGUAGCUACAAAAAACUGAUCAGAAUGAUUAAUUAGGAAAAGUAAGAAAAAGAAGAUCAGCUUAUACUAUAUAUUUGCUUUUGCUUUUUAGUGAUAGCUGGAGUCCAUGGCAAAGUCUCCUAAUAAUGUCAAGUAAAGGUGGGGCAGCUGCACACGAAUCAAAAAGGAGAAAUACAUUAUACUCUCAUCUUAUUAUAACAAUCAUUUUCGGUAACAAUAUAUUUUUUUUCUUUUUUUUAAAGAACUAUUGUUAUAUUAUAAGUGGUUUUUUUUAUAUAUACAUUAUACUAUAAACAUUUCAGGACAAACGACUUCCUUUAUAAAGGUUUGAUUGUAUGAGUACGUAGCAAAAAAAAUUUGAAAGCAUCAAAUCGCAUAAAAACCUAAAAAUUCAUGGAACAUACAAAUUGAGUCUUAUAAUAGCCCAAAUUGGGUAAAGUUUUGCAAGGGACGGACGGAAUAAUUUAUUUUCACUAUUCUACUGGCAUCUUAUCUACUGCAUGUGCGUCCUACUGUGGACUCCAACAAUAAAGCAAAUAGUUGAUCACUUCAGACUUAUUCCAUCAACUAUUUGAAUACAGUGAUAUUUCAAAAAGAAAAUAGUAAAUAAUUGAGAGAAGUAUUGAAAACGUACCCCUCUAAAUUUGGUGUCAAUUAUUAGUUUUAUCUUUGAACUAUUGACAAUUUUAAAAACAUAUUUUUACUUGACUAACUGAACUUACAAGUUACAUAUAGCCCAAUCUUGCAAUAUGAGUGAAAUACACCCUUAAAUUUUCGUCAAGUUUAGGAGUAUUUUAAUUUCAACACUUAUCUCGAUUUUUUAUUAAGAGUAUUAUGCUUCUAUAAGAGUUUGAGACCACUUGUCAUGUAACUGAUCGGGGCGUUCGGCGGUUUCGUUGCGCUGUAGUGGAUUUGAGUUAUAAAUCUUUAAGUAAAAGUAGCUAUACAUUAUGUAUCGAUCUACUAUUCAUUGUAAUUAAUUAGACAUGAACUAAGUAACAAACAAAAAUUAGUUUAUCGAGGAUAUUAAACGUAAAUAAUUAUAGUGGCCACUAACCUGUAGACACAUUGAUAUUAAACGUAAAUAUUCAAUGAAUUUUUAACAUAAAUAUAUGAUUUUAGCUAAUAUUAUUAAAUUUUAUUGAACACAUAGCUAGAAUUCUAACUUUGAUUGUGUGAGAUUUUUAGUUUUUGCAGAAUUUUUUAGCAAACAAAAGUCAUUAUUAGGAAGGCCAGCUCCUUAUGAUACCUUGUAAGAUGGAUUUUUUAAACUUUUAUGUUGAAAUCUUUUAUAGUUUGGGGAUGAAAUGUGUAGAAAUUUUAUUCUUUAAAGAUGUAUACCUUGUGUUUGACAUAAAUAAAACCAAAACACACAUAAACAAAAAAUUGAUUAAAGUAUACUUGUAUUUUUAUUUUUAUUUCAAAUUAUUGAAUGUUGGAGUUAUAAUCAGGAGUCUGGUCAUGACCAAUUCUACACCUUAAAAUGAAAUGUAAAUAUAGUCCUACAAAUUAUAAACUCAACAAAUAUUGGGGUCGAUUCCAUGAAGAGUGUGUGCAUGUGUCAAUGUGUCCAAAAGUGUGUAUUUGUGAAUUUCCUAAAUUUUGUGUGCGUGUGUAAUUAAACAAUUUAUUUACUACUAGUUCUAACUAUUCCCUCCAUUUCAUAUUAAUUUAAUUUUUAAGGUAUUUUUUAUUUUUUAAAUUAAUUUAAUUGUUCAGUUUUCAAAACUACUUUUAGAGUGUUCUUCCAAUUUUACCCUUCAUUAGUUAGUAUUGGAAUUAGCGAUUAAUUAAUAUUUAGUUAUUUUAAUCAUAAAUUUGAUAAUAAUUAAUAAGGGUAAAAAUAGAAAACUAUAUUCAAUUUAUGUCUUAAUCUACUUUUUUUAAAGGGUGUAAAACACCUCAAAAUUAAAUUAAUAUGAAAUGGAGGGAGUAUUUUGUAAUAAUCAAAUAUAAAUUAAAGCAAAAAAGAAAAAGAAAAAUAGUAGGUGUACCUGAUAGGUUGGAAUUUGGCUGAUGCAGUUCCUUGAUUGGAGUAAAUAUUAAUUAUAAGUGUUUUUUUUUUCAAAAGAUGGAAAUUGACAAAUUAACCAAGCACCUCAAUUCUAUUUAUAAGUAUCUUUUAAAAAAAUAUAUAUAUUAGUUCAAUACUUGAAUUGAAUGUGAGGGUAAGAUGGGUCAUAAUUUCCAAAUUAUUCUUUACUUGAAACAAUAUAUAGGCAUCUUACCUUUUUUCUCAUGAAAAAGCAAAAGGAAAGUAUAAUGUUGGAGAAUUAAAAAAAUAAUAAUCAUGUUUUCACUUUUGUCUGGAUGUAAAUGUUACAAAAGAAAUAAAUGAAUAUUUCAAACGGAAGUAUUUUUCGUGAAGAACUCUUUUUUUUCCACUUUAGUUGUAACUAUUCAUUCUAUAGUUCUAUUCCAUAUUAGUUGAUCAUUUUAUUAAAAAAUAUAAUUGUCCAUUUUUAUAAAUUAAGAAAGCAUUAAUUAAUUUUUUUCCUAUAUUAUUCAUGCAAUUAAUUCUUUUUUUAAAUGUUCAUAUUUGUUUGUUAAAUUUCCAAUAAAAAAUUUCAGAGAUGAAUCAAUAAACUGAACUUCUUAUUUAUGAUUUCUUGAUAUGCUUGUAAAAAGGAAAAUGAUCAACUGAGAUCGGGAGAGUAAUAAAAUAACUUGCAAUUCGCGUGAUAGUGAAGAAAAUUAUAUACAUUCCCUUUAUUAAAGAAAAUACUUUAAAAAGGAAAAGUAAUACUUUCAAUUAUUUUACAAAUAUAUUUUAUUAAAUAAUCUAUAAUAUACAAAAUAAAUAUUAUGAUUUUUAAUUGAGAAAGGUAACGAUCACCAAUAAUGAAGAAAAAAAGUACUACAAUUACUACUUGAGAAAUAUCAUUACACUAAUAAUAAAAAUAUGAUUUAAAGUAAAAAAGUUUCAAAAAAUAAUAAUAAUAUCUGAAGCCUACACGUGAAGUGAGGAAUCUCCUCCUAUGUAUCUGCCUACAUUACUAUUUCGAGAUGUGAUUAUUAUCCUACUGCCAAUUUUUGAGUCAGGAAGGAAAAAAUUCAGAUAAUUCCAAAUUUCAACAUCCCAAAUGUCAUCUAAGAGGAUAACACACCUUUUUCUUUGCAAGAGUGAGCUUAGGUUGCCUUCCAAGUUCUCUUUCCUUUCCUGUUCCGUCAGUCCAACUUGUUUGGCAAUGUCCUGUAAGAUUUCUCCUGCCCUUGCCUGCUGUGAAACAUAGACCAAUCCUGAACAUUCAAAUUGAUGACGGACAUGCCUAUAAAGUUUCUUGGCAAGAGUUGUUUUUCCUAAACCGGGCAUGCCAACUAUUGAAACAACUCCAUAAGGCAAAUCAUGAUCAAGUAAUUUGGCUUGUAGCUUAUUGAAGUCAUCAUCCAAACUGAUGACCUCUAUUUCAUCAGCAUGAAGGAAUAAUCUUCUCUGGUCCAACGGAAUGCAAUCAUUAUUGUUGUUACUUGUAUCCAUGAUGCAUGUUAUAAGUUGUCCUUACACGAUCAAUACCCGCAACCCUUCGGCAAAAGAAACUGUCUUAAAGCAACAAAUGAACUUAUUGGAUUGUUGAAUUUUUGGAAGGAACUCAUCAAAGAGAUCCUCCACAUCACUUGCGAGUUGUUGAAUAUCUUUUAAUAAAUUUUUGACCCUUGAAUCGCCUCCAACUUCCUUGGCCUUUGCAUCGUCCACAUAUGAUUGAAUGUGUCUCAUUUCUCUCUGGAGCCAAUCGAUGUCCUCUUUCAACCAAUAUAAACGCGUUCCUUCUUGCACGAGUAGAUUUCCAGCUAUUUCUACAGAUUUAUUGAUGACUGCUGUGAGAAGAAUUUCAGCCAUUUUUUGUCUUUCUUUUUCAGUAUCAACAAAAAACUGAGUAUGAGUAAUUAGGAAAAGUAGGAAAAAAAGACGAUCAGUAUACUGUUUGCUUUUGCAUUUUAGUGAUAGCUGGAGUCCUAAUAAUGCCAAGUAAAUGAUAAACAAAAGAAACAAGAAAGGUGGGGCAGCUGCACACUAAUGGAAAAGGAGAAAUACAUUAUACUCUCAUCUUACUAUUAUACUCUAACAAUCAUUCUUGAUAACAAUAUAAUUUUUUCCUUUUUAAAAAAACUAAUGUAAUAUUAUAGUGUAUUAUAAGUGUUUUUUUUUAAAUAUCGUGUAAUUGAUUAGUUAUACUAAGAUGUUUACUUAGUUAUGUAGUUUUUUCGGAAAAAAAAAGUAUAUUAUCAAUCGGCCACAAAAAAUAAAAAAACUUAAAUUGGGACGGGCGGAAUAAUUUCUUUUCACUAUUCUACUGACAUCUUAUCCACUGCAUGUGUUGUCCUUAUUGUGGACUCCAACAAUAAAGCAAAUAGUUUAUCACUUUAGACUUAUUCCAUCAACUAUUUGAAAUUUCAAUUCACAAUUUUUGAAUAAAGUGAUAUUUCAAAAAGAUAAUAAAUAAUUGAGAGAACUAUUGAAAACGUACCCCUCUAAAUUUGGUGUCAAUUAUUAGUUUCAUUUUUGAACUAUUGACAAUCUUAAAAACAUUAUUUUACUUGACUAAUUGAACUUACAUACACACCGAUCUUACAACGUGAGUGAAAUACACCCUUAAAUUUUCGUCAAGUUUAGGAGUAUUUUAAUUUCAACACUUAUCUCGACUUUUUAUUAAGAGCAUUAUGUUUCUAUAAGAGUUUGAGACCACUUGCUAUGUCAUGUGACUGAUCGGGGUGUUCAGCGGUUUAGUUAGUCAAGUAGAGGGAUGGUUUUUAGACUGUCAAUAAUUUGUAGAUGAAACUAAUAAUAUUUUUUUCGAAUUUAUACCACUAAACAAAGAGUCUAGCCAUUUUUCUAAUAAUGUGCACUAAGUUUAAGGUGUUUUUCUAUACUUCUCUCUAAAUAAUUUUCAUAAUCAAACAUGAUGUUAAAAUAACUUUCUCAAUCUUGACAAUUGCUUAUUUACAAACUAUUAUGAAUUCGCCACUAUGGUAGACACACUGCUACCAAAACAAGAGGAUGCAUGUUGUACAUUAAUUCCAAAAACACCCUCUUCAAAAAGCAAGGUACAACACCUCUAAGCAGUAAAAUUACUCUCGAGUCCCUUACUAUUUGGAGCUAUUAAGCACAUAUAUAUUUUUUUUCACUCUGAAAAAGUCGAAAUAUAUACCCUUUGUCCUUGUGAUUAGCUUCAUAAUGUUUCAGAUAAAUAUAGAAGCUAUAUUUAUUGUGUCGCGUAAUUUAUUACUCCCUCCAUCUCAAUUUAUGUGAGAUAGUUUGAUUUGGUACGAAGUUUAAGAAAGAAAUGAAGACUUUUAAAAUUUGUGGUUCAAAAUGAAUUAUAUAAAUUUGUGUGGCUGUAAAUCAUUUCAUUAACGGUAAAGUAGACAUUUCAUAGUUAAAUUGUUACUUACUCCCUCCGUCCCAUUUUAUGUGGCAACAUUUUGACCCCGGCACGGGAGUUUAAGAAAUAAAUGAAGACUUUGAAAUAUUUACCAAAUUGCCCUUUAAAAAGUAGACUCACUUUUCUCUCUCCUCAUAAAUGUAUUGGAGUAUUAUUUUAAGAUUAAGUGAGACCAACAAGGGUAAAAGAGGAGUUGUACCUUUAAAUACUUACCAUAUAAGGAAAUGUGACAUUCUUUUUGGGACUGACCAAAAAGGAAAUGGUGCCACAUAAAAUGGGACGGAGGGAGUAAUAUAAAAAUGUGUCAUUCUCUUUUGGACAGAUCAAAAAGGAAAGUAAGUCACAUAAAUUGAUAUGGAGGGAGUAUUUAUCCAUCCAUUAUUCUCAUAAAAAUAUAAUUUGUUUAAUAUUACUAAAUCAAAAAUAACUUUUAACGGCAAUAUAUAUAUAUACAACAUUAUCAUCUUAGAGCUAUUAGCAAAGAUCGUAGGAAAUAUGUGUUCAAUGUCAGCAAGACCUCUAUUAAUUAAACACAUUUGGAGAGAGAUGAACCAAUGUGCCGAUUUUCUGGCAAACGAAGAGCACAAGCAUAAUGAAAAUUUGAUAGUAGCCACUAACCUGUAGACACAUUGAUAUUAAACGUAAAUAUUCAAUGAAUUUUGAACAUAAAUAUUUGAUUUUAGCUAAAAUUAUUAAAUUUUAUUGAACACGUAGCUAGAAUUCUAACUUUGAUUGUGUGAGAUUUUUAGUUUUUGCAGAAUUUUUUAGCAAACAAAAGUGUCAUUAUAAGGAAGGCCAGCUGCUUAUGAUACCUUGUAAGAUGAAUUUUAAAAAAAAUUAUGUGGAAAUCUUUUAUAGUUUGGGGAUGAAAUGUGUAGAAAUUUUAAUUCUUUUAAAGAUGUAUACCUUGUGUUUGACAUAAAUAAAACCAAAACACAUAAAUAAAAAUUUGAUUAAAGUAUACUUGUAUUUUAUUUUUUUCAAAUUAUUGAAUGCUGGAGUUAUACUCUGGAGUUUGGUCAUGACCAAUUCUACACCUUAAAAUGAAAUGUAAAUACAGUCGUACCAAUUAUAAACCCAACAAAUAUUGGGGUCGAUUCCAUGAAGAGCGUGUGCAUGUGUCAAGGUGUCCAAAAGUGUGUAUUUGUAAAUUUUCUAACCUUGGACUUUUAUUGAUCCACACAGAAAAAAAAAAAACCCAAAACCCAAGAAUUGGGUCAAUAGUUUUUAAUGGUUUUAUAAAAAAAUUAUUGGAUUAUCGGUUCGGUUUUGACCUUUUAUAAUGGGUUAUUGGGUAUACUGAUAACCCAAUAAGAUUAUAGUAAUAUAGUACUUUACGCUUACAUAAAUAUUAAAUAUUAAUCUCAAUACCUUACUAGUUAGUACAUUUGUCCUAUAGCCUUAGCUUCAAACUUCAUAGUGACUUUGAGUUCAAAACUUCACAUUAUACAAAACGUCAAAAUAUAAAGUAAGAACAUUAUUCCUAUUAAUUUCUCUUUGUGUUACACUUGUAUAGUUCUCUCAAUGUUAAUUAUUAUUAUUUCUAUUUUAUGAGCAUUUGUUAGAGAAGUCAUAUAUUUAUUUUAUAAGCAUUUUCUUAUUGGUUAAACCAAUUGAUAGAUAAACCAUAACCAAAAACCGAUAAAAUGAAAUGACAAUACAUAAAAUUGACCCGAAUCGAUCGAUGCAAAGCCAUAACUUAUAUUGUAAACUUUGAUUCUUGAAGAAGAAAAUAAACUAAAGCUACUAAUUCCAAAGUAAAUAUACAUAAGACAAUAAAUAAAUCUUUUAUAAAUCACAAGCCACAAAUACGUCAACUUCAUGAAGCAAUCAAACAUUUAAUUUAUUUAUUUCAAAUACAAACAGGCAUCAGAAGAUGCUCUCCAGCAAAGACUUAAUCAUUCUCAAAUGCAUCUGCAAUUUAUUAGACAUAAAAUAUUAAGUUGAUGAAUUAAUUAAUAAAAAAUGAGCUUAUUCAGAGAUAUUAAAAGUAAAUAAUUAACCUGUUGACACAUUGGGAUUUUCAUACUCUCAGCUUUGCAAGACGUUCCGAGAGCCUAACGUCGGAAGUGGUAUCUAUACGUAAAAAUAGCUUUUUCAAUUUAGGCAUAAUCAUAUCAUCCCUGCAACUUACUUCAGACAACCCACAUGCAUACUCAAUAUGCAAAACUUCAAGUUGCGGAAAGCUAUCACCAUCACCACAGAGAUCCAUCUUUUCUUCAUUAUGUUUGCACCAAAGCAUUUUAAGUAUCCUUAAUUUGGGCAAUUUCUUAAGCACUGCCACUACAUGACCGUCUACCUCCAAGUUGUGAAGAGUAAGCUUGACAACAUUUGGAGGGAAUGCUUCACAGUUCAAGCGCAUUGUUCUGCAAAUUCUCAAAUGCAACUUAACAAUAUUUGGAUAGGACGACAAGUUUAUUUUCUCACUCAUCAUGUACCUCAAAAAUCUGAGCUUCAAAACCUCCAGCGCCUUUGGCACAGGGCUCAAUGUUGAUAAUAUCUUAACCGUAGAACCAUAUGAGCACUCUAUACCCAGUUUUCUUAUAUUGAUCAAUCGGUGCAACAAUCUCGGUUCAAAAAAAUUAUAAUCAUCCAUCCACAUCAAAGUUUGUAGAUUAUUAGGAGGCAAUGAUGAGUACACAUUUGGAAAAAAUGGGAUUAUAGAAAAGCAAUACAUACAUACUUUAUCGAAAGAUUUAUAACGAAGAUGUCUCAAUUGUGUAGACUUCAAAACACCAGUAGGAAGAUCAAUGAAGCUUUUACCAAUAUCUAGGGUCUCUAGAUGUUUGAGCUUCAACAUACAAUUCGGCAGUUUCCCAUAAAUAUCCCCCUCCAAUCGAAGAUAGCGUAAGCAACUCAUGUUUCCAAACGUGUUUGGGACACCACAACAAUCAUAAUAGGACAUGACUACAACCAACACUUGCAAUAAUUUGAAAUCAAGAUGAGCCAGUUGAGAAAAUAUGCAAGGGUCUGUUGUGAAACAGAAAAGUGCACGAAGCUUCUUAGGCUUAGGAUUUGAACGAAAGAACUCAUUCAUGGCAUUAUUAUCCGAGUAGAAUGUAAUUCUUCGCACCCUAGCAACAUUGCCGGGAUCACCAAAUGCAUUGUGCUCGGUGUGAAAGAAGCUACUUUCCUUAGCCAAGUCCACACACAAACUAUGUAACAAGUCAUGUAUGCGACAACUUGAAAUUCUUCCAUCAUAUGUCCUUUUGGCAACUUGAAUCAAGUUUCUAGAAACCAAAUCAUUUAGAAUAUCCUCAGCCAAACUUUCAGCCUCUCGCCCAUUGCCACUAUUUACAACUAUCAGCUUCUCAGCAAUCCACAUAUUUGUCAAAUCAAAAACACGAAUUUCAUGGUCCUCGGGGAAAAGGCCAAAGUACAAGAAACAUGGCCUUAAUGCAAUGGGCAAAUCAUUGUAACUCAGAGCCAAUACCUUAGCACAUCCAUCUUGAACUUUAUGGCUCAUACUCUCAAGUAACCUGUUCCAUGCAUGUUCCGUUCUUUCUCUUGCCCUUAGCAUGCCUGCAGUCACCACAAUGGCUAGUGGUAUACCUCCACAUCUACCAACUAUACUUCUACCAAUAUUUACCAAGUCAGGUGAAGCAUUAGCCCAAUUAUUAUUAUCAAAAUUAAAGAUUUUCUUGCUAAAGAGUUCAAAACUGUUAUCUGAAUCUAGGGGUUGCAACACACAGAGUGAGGAAUGUCCUCCUAUGUAUCUUCCUACGUUACUAUUUCGAGAUGUGAUAAUUAUCCUACUGCCAAUUUUUGAAUCAUAUUCAGGAAGAACAAGUUUUAGAUAAUUCCAAAUUUCAACAUCCCAAAUAUCAUCUAAGAGGAUAACAUACCUUUUUCUUUUCAAGAGUGAUCGUAGGUUGUUCUCCAAGUUUUCUUUCCUUUCCUCUUCCGUCAGUCCAACUUGUUUGGCUAUGUCAUGUAAGAUUCCUCCCACCCUUGGCUGUUG
rnacentral:lncRNA from 1 species